UUUGAGAGACUUUACUAGGAUGAACCCUCUUAGGUUCUUAGGGUCAAAAGAGGGUGAAGAACCCCAAGAAUUUCUUGGAGAAGUAUACAAGAUCUUAUUUUCUAUGGGUGACUUUAAUUUAGAAGUCCCAGUUGGCGGCCUAUCAACUGAAAUAUAUGUCCCAAACUUGGUACACACAAUGGAGGGACACCACGGUUCUAAGAGGUGGUCCCGUUACUUGGGAGAUCUUCAAGAGGAAUUUCCUUUAUAGGUUAUUUCCUAGAGGGUUGAGAGAGGCUACGAUGGAAGAGUUUAUCAACCUUUUUAGAGGAUGUAUGAGUGUGCUUGAUUACUCCUUAAAGUUUACUAAAUUGUGUAAGUAUUCUCCAACUUUGGUGUCUAACCAAAGAGAUGAGAUGAGUCGUUUUCUUACGGGAGUAUCAAAAGAUUUGGUAGAAGAAUGUUGUUCCUCUACGCUUUGUGAUAAUACGAAUAUCUCUAUCUAAUAGUUCAUGCUCAAUAAGUGGAACAAAGUAGACUAAGCAAGAAGAAUAGAGAGGCCAAGAGGACCACGUCUUAUUAAAGUGGUUGUUCAAGAGGAAGGUUUGAAAUUCAAGAAAAGCCUACGUUCAAAAAGAGGUUAUCCAAUAAAGUUCCUUCUAAGUUACCCAAGGCUCGUGAUUAUAGGUUUUCUAACCCUAGUUCUCAAAAGGGAAGAGGUACUAGUUCACCAAGGAAAAAUCGUACUUGUUGAAAGUGUGGCAAAGAGAAUAUGGGUGAGAGUUUAGUUGGAAUGGACAAUUUCUUGGGGUGUGAAAAAACUGGUCACAAGAUUAGAGAUUACCCCAAUAUGAAGGGGAAAGAUAAGGAAAGUAGGCAAGCUAGUGGUUCUUAAGGUUAUGCUCCGAGGAAGAAUCGCUUUUAUGCUCUCCGCUCUAGGAGUGAAAAAGAGAGUUCUCGUGAUAUGGUGACUGGUAUGUUAAAAGUCUUUCCUAUUGAUAUAUAUGUUUUACUUGUUCUGGGUGCUACAUUGUCUUUUGUUACUCUUUAGUAGCUAACAAAUUUGAUAUUUUGUCCCAUACCCUUCAUGAACCUUUUAUAGUGACUACCCCGGUAGGUAAUUCUGUGGUUGCAAAGAGGGUAUACAGAAAUUGUCCUAUAAUGUUGUCCAAUAGAGUAACUUAGGUUUAACUAGUAGAACUUGAUAUGGUUGAUUUUGAUGUCAUAUUGGGAAUGGAUUGGUUGCAUGAUUGUUUUGCUUCCAUUGAUUGUAGUACUAUAUUUGUUAAGUUCAAUUUUCCUAAUGGACACGUUUUACAGCGGAACAGGGAAAAUUCUAUUCAUAGAGGUUAUAUCAUUUCUUGUUUGAAAGCUUGUAAGAUUAUCUUUAUAGGGUGUUUAUUCAAUAUUGUAAGAGUAAAAGAUUUAGAGUCCAAAAAUUCCUCCCAUUGAGUUGGUCCCCGUAGUGAGGGAAUUUUCUCAGGUCUUUCCUAAUGAUCUUCCCGGUAUCCCUCCCCAAUUGAAAAUUUAUUUUGGCAUUGACUUACUACCGGAUACGAUCCCCAUCUCAAUUCCUCCUUAUCAGAUAGCUCCGGCCGAACUGAAAGAGUUGAAGGCUCAACUCAAAGACUUAUUAGACAAGGGUUUCAUCGUCCUAGUAUUUCUCCAUUGGGUUUUCCAGUGUUGUUUGUGAAGAAAAAAGAGGAAGGGUCCCUUAGGUUUUGUAUUAACUACCGACAACUCAAUAAAGUAACUAUCAAGAACAAGUAUCCUCCCUGUAGGAUUAAUGAUUUCAUUAAUCAACUCUAAGGUGCAAGUUACUUCUCUAAGAUUUAUUUGAGAUCGGGUUAUAACCAAAUUAAGGUGAGGGGUGAAGACAUACAAAAGAUGCUUCUCGGACUAGGUAUGGUCACUAUGAGUUUCUAGUGAUGUCAUUUUGGUUAACAAAUGCCCCGGCGGAUUUUACGGACCUUAUGAAUAGGGUGUUUCGAAGUUACCAAGAUUCCAUUGUCAUUAUUUUCCUUCACGACAUCUUGGUAUAUUCAAAGAAUGAGGGUGAGAAUCUGACCAUUUGAGAGUGAUUUUUCAGCCCCUAAACAACACCAAAUUUUUAUCAAGUACAGAAAAUGUGAAUUUUGGUUGAGUUCGGUGGCGUUUCUUGAUCAUAUCAUCUCUAGUGAGGGUGUAAAGGUCGAUCCGAGAAAGACCAAAGCAGUUAAGAAUUGUCCAAAACCUUUGGCUACAACUGAUAUAAGAAGUUUCUUGGGUCUAGCGAGAUACUAUAAAAGGUUUUGUUGAUGGGUUUGCAUCUAUGGCAUCUCCUUUGACAACCCUGACCCAAAAGAAUGUGAAAUUUGGGUGGUCGAUGGCUUGUGAAAGCAACUUCCAAGUGUUGAAAGAUAGACUUACCUCCUCUCCGGUGUUGAAUUUACCGGGGGAAAUGAAGGUUUCUUGGUGUAUUGUGAUGCCUCAUGAGUAGGUUUGAGAUGUAUCCUCAUGCAACACGGCAAGGUAAUAGCUUAUGCCUCUAGGCAACUUAGGGUUCAUGAGAAAAACUACCCAACUCAUAAUCUUGAGUUAGCGGUCGUGGUGUUUGCCUUGAAAAUAUGGAGGCAUUAUCGAUAUGGUGUCCACGUUGAUGUGUCUACCAACUAAAAUAUUCGUCAAUAUGUUUUUACCUAGAGGGAGUUGAGUCUCUGACACCGAAGAUGGUCUACCACCUCAGUAAGGCCAAUGUGGUAGCGUAUGCUCUAACUCGUAUGACCAUGCGUUGUGUGUAUCAUGUAAAAGAAUACAAGAAAGACUUAGAGAAAUAUGUUCAUAGGUUGGCUCGUUAGCGGGUAAGACUCCAAGAUUCUCCUAAUGGUGGUUUCAUGGUCCAUCAUAACUCCGAAUCAUCUUUGGUGGUUGAGGUAAAGUCUUAGAAACACCUUGACCUAUCAUUGACGGAGUUGAAGGAAUCGUUUCUUGGUAAGCAUAAUUAGUCAUUUUACAUAGUGGGGAUGGUGUUUUUAAGUACCAAGAGAGGUUUUGUGCGCCCAAGGUUGACCUUAGAGAAAAGUUUUGGUGGGAUGUCUUGAAAAGGGACGUAACGGAAUUUGUUUCAAAGCGUCCUAAUUGACAUCAAGUGAAAGCCGAGCACUAAAAGCUAGGUGGCUUACUUUAGGAAAUGCAACUCCCAACAUAGAAGUAGGAGGAAAUAAAUAUGGACUUCGUGUGGGUUUGCCUAAGACUCAAAGUCAAAAUGAGUCUAUAUGGGUGGUUGUGGAUUUGUUUAGGAAAUACGCUCACUUAAUCCCCGUUAAGUCCACUUAUUCAGUUGAAGAGUAUGCAAGAAUCUAUAAAAAGAGAUUGUGAGUCUUCAUGGGUCCGUUUAUCCAUCAUUUAGGAUAGAUGUUCUCUAUUCACAUCUAGGUUUUGGACGUUUUUCCAAUAAGGGUUAGGCACUCAAGUGUAGUUAAGCACCGCUUUUCAUCCCCUAACUGAUGGUCCAGCGGAACAUACUAUUUAAAACCUUGAGCAUAUGUUAAGGGCUUUUGUGAUUGACUUCAAGGGAAUUUGGUAUGAACAUUUGCCUUCGGUUCAGUUCUUUUAUAACAAUAGUUUCCAUUCGAUAAUAUCCAUGGCUCCUUUUGAGGCUUUUUAUGGUAGGAGAUGUAGAUAUCCGGUUGAAUGGUUAGAGGUUGGUGAGUCAUCACUUCUUGGUCCUGAAUUGAUUUAUGAUGCUUUGUUGAAGGUUAGUGUCAUAAGAAAUAGAUUGAAGGAGGCAUAUAGUAAGCAAAAUUUUAUGCCGAUAAUAGGAGAAGAGACCUUGAAUUCAGGAAGGUGAUACAGUGUAUUUAAAAAUUUCACCCAUGAAAGGGGUAUAAGAUUUCUUAAUGAAGGUAAACUUACUCCUUAUUAUGUAAGUCCCUAUGAAAUUUUGCAAAGGAUUGGCACGGUUGCAUAUGUUUGAGAUUACCUAGUGAGCUAACAUUGGUUCACUCUAUAUUUCAUGUCUCCAUGAUUAAGAAGUGCAUUGGUGAUCCCUAGUUGAUUCUUCCUAUUGAAAGUCUUUGUGUGGAUGAGAACCUCUCCUAUGAAGAGGUUCCGGUGGAAAUCCUUGAUUAUGAAGUAAAGAAGUUAAGGAAAACAUAGGUCCUUUGUAAAGAUUCUAUCACAAAACCACCUAGUUGAGGGAGCAACAUGGGAGGCCGAGGCCGUUUUUGGUAAAAAUAUAUAUUUUCAUGGUAUAGGUUUUUCGCUAAAAUGAAGUUUCAUGGAAAAAUGCUCUUUUGCUUGCUUUGCACUUAUAUGUGUAUUUGAUAUGUUUUUGCCUCCAUUAAAUGAUAUUGCACAUGUUAAUAUGAUGAGCUCUUGUUGUUGUGAGAAGAAACAUCCUCAUAUUGUGAUUUUGAGCUCUAAUGUGUGAUAAAUAAAGUUUUGAGUUAUUUGUGUAAAUGCCAUGAUUUUGUGUUCAAUGGAGUUGUGAAAAACUCCUUUGAGUUUUAGAUCAUGUUGAUAUUGUAUGUUGUUGGUUGGGCAUCUAGUAUUGAGUCUAUCAUUUUCCUUCAAAAGAUUUUAGUGUCAUUCAGGGACGAAGGUUCCUAAGGGGGGAUAAUGUAAAACUCCAACAAUCCAAAACCUAAUCUAGAGCCUCACAUGAGUGUCUAAGUUUUGUAACACUGUUUUCAGGUCAAAAAUAAGGUUCAUAAGUAAUUUAGAAAGUUUUAGAGUGAAGAUGUCAAAGAACGUCCAUGACGUCCGGUGAAUUGUAAAAGAGGUACUAGUGUGUCUUAGCCUAUGUCACGGGGUUUUAGGAGUCCGAAAUUGAUGAAAAUUAAUGGAAAGGUGUCAAACUAUUGCUAGAGUAUGUUUAGGGUUUAAACUUCUGGGUACAAAUCCCCAAGGACCACCGCAAGGGUCCUUGAGGAGGAGCCUUCUAUUUUGGGAAAAAGUUGUCAAUAAACAGUGUCCACAUAUGGUUGCAGGCGCCAAGGGCUUACGUUAAUCAACUUUGAAUUUAUGCCUCGGUCGACCAAUAUUUAUCCAUUUUUAAGAAUGUCCAGAAGUACUACUCUCUAAACUAUUCAACAAACCUGCAUGAUAGUUGGUGCAAGGCAUCAACUGAUCUACGGACCAUAGGUCGGGGUAUCGUGGGUCAAGUUUAUUAUUUCUUUGGUGAGCUAGUUGGUUUAUUUAAUAAGUUAGUUUGUUAGUUAGUUAAUUAAAGGUUAAUGGAGGAGUAAUUAAGUUAAUUCAGGACUUAUAUAAAGACCUUAUCUAAUUAAACUAACCCAACUCCCAUAAUUCCCAAACUCAAAUUGGUUUUCCUUCUCUCUUCAUUCUCUCUCCCAUAAAGAAGAACUCUAUUAGGUCAAGGUAAUUUGGGCAGAAAAAUAUUAAUUUUCCUCCAUCAAUCUUCAACAAAUAUAAAGGUAUGGGAACCUUUCACCUAUAGGAUAUCUUUUCCCAAAGGGUUCUUCCAAAAUUGGUUACAAAAAGAUGAUUUUCAUAUGGGUUUUUUCCAAUUUCGUAAUUGACCUCCCUAAUUGUGUUGUUGUUGUUUUCUAUUGUUUAUUCUUAUUAUAUUAUGAUACAUUAUUAGUUAAUUGAGUUGGUUCUUGAUGAUUAUACCUUGUAUGUGAUAGGGAUGAUAAAUUUUACCCAAUUCCCUAACCCUCGAUUAUGAACUCUUGAUUGAAUCUAUAACUAUGGUUAUAAUUUACUUGUACAUUAUUUUAUAUACUAUUGUGUGAUGAUAUUACGCCCAUUUUUGGGUGUAAUUGGAUGGUUUAUAGUAAAACCUUCGAUGAUUGCUUGUAAAGGAGAUUUGGCAAGUCUUUUUAAUCUCAAACAUUUACUUCAGUUAUGAUGACUAUUGUUUAGUGAUGAAAUUCAACUAAAGUAUAUCUUAUGUGUAGAUUGAUUAGUGUUUGUAUGAUUAUGAAUUGAAAUGUCUUGAUUAUAUGACUUGUGAGAACUUGGCUAAGAUAUAAUGAUAUAAGGUUGGUUAUGAAUUGUCUAUGUACCUUAUUAUGAUUUAGUGAUAUUAAUGUGCUAACCUCACUUAUGAGGAUUGUAUUGAAAGGUUCUAGUCAUACAAUUCCUCUUGAGAUAAUGACUGUGACUAUAUAAGAGGUAGUCCCAUGUGACCUAACUAAGUCAUUACUGUUAAAGAGAUACAUUUCAUAAGGGACUGUAGCUUAGCACAGAGUGAAGCAGUAGUGAGGAGUAUCCCUUCCCAAAUAGGGAAGAUAGGUUAUCUAUGCACUCAUGGGAUAGAGAUUACAAAUCCUAAGGCGUAAAGAGAGUAUCAAACAUGUCUCUUAGUUCUAGAACUAUGUUGCCUCCAUAGGAAGACUAGCUAGAGGAUCCACCUAAAUUCUAUGUUCAUGUUUGACUCUACUUUGGCAAGUAGACCACCUUCUUUCGGUGUAGGGUUUUCAUGACAUCGUAUUUCACAUUUAGCUCUUGUUGUCUAUGUCAUUUAAGGCAAGUGUUCCCAAAAAUAAAGUGAAGUAAUAAGGUCAAAACUAAUUGGGUGAUUUAAGGGGUUUAUCUUAGUCUAGGUAGGAAUAUUAGACUCUACCUAUUCAUUGAACUAGUUUACCUUGAGGGAAGUCCUAGAAGGUUGUUCUUAUGUUCUUAUGAUCUUAUAAAGUAAAUGUUAUGUAUAUGUUUACUUUUGAUGUUGAUGAUCCUUUACGAUGUUAGUUUCACUUAUGAACAUGUUAUUGAUCUAUAUUCCUUGUAACGACCUGUUUAGUCGUUUUGAGCAACAGACUUCAAUUCUGGAAAAACUGGCAGAAGCGACGGACCCCACGACGGACCGUCAUGGGCACGACGGACCGUCAUGGGCACGACGGACCGUCGCAGGGUCCCAUUUCAAAACACUUAGAAAAUCUGAAAUUGGGUACUGAAAAUCUACUCUCUGAACUUCGUGACGGAGUGGCAGGACGGACCAUCGCAGGCUCGACGGCCCGUCACAGGCCAUUCACUCAAAAUCAAGUUUUUGAACUAUGCUACGGACAGCAGGACGGACCGUCGCAGGCGCGAAGGCCCGUCACAGCUUGCGUAAUCCCAGUUGGAGUCAGAUUUCUGGUUAAGUUUUAAAGGGGCACUUUGGACUAUUCCUGCUAUAAUUAUAUAUUUCGUGGGUUUAUAUUAAUAACUCAAAUUCUUGGGGGUUAAAAGAGGUAACCUUAAGUUAAUUAGUGGGGCAUUAUUUCCAUCAUGUAGGUUCGUAUUCAUAAGAGUGGUGCGCUUCACAAUUAAGAAUAAAAACUUACAUAAAUGUGGUUUAGAGAGACAUUGACUCUAAGAUAAUUCUAGCUCAUGCUCUGAAACCAAGUUUUUCACAUCAAGGUUUACCCCCUAGAUGAAACUGGAGUCUUCUUCUUUGAGGACUAAGAAUAGCCUCUUAGCUUACAUCAUUACAUUUAUAGGUCAAAUUAAGUGUAAAAUUUAAAAAAAUUCAUUACUUCUACUUGGAUGUUUACAUAGACCUCUACAUACACAUAAUAUAUAUUUGUAUCGAGUAUACAUAGACCCUUAAUAUAAGAAGGUUACAUAGUCUUCUACUUUUAUUGCACAUAAAUAUAUGUAUAUAUAAUAUCAUAGUCAUAGUAGUCAUCUCAUCUCAUAAGUAUCUACUAAGAGUAUAUCAAAUUUGAGCUUAGCCCAUACUUCAGUCCAAUAAGAACACAUAUAGGACAUACAAAUCUAUAUUACUCAAUGGAAAAGAAAGAAACGAAAGAUUCUUAAAUUCAUAAUAACUUCAUAAUCUAGAUAGUGGCAUUACCCAUGAAAAUUCAGGACCUACCUUGCUCAGAUGAAUAACAGAUCCAAGCCUUCUUCAAGUUGCCUCCCAAAACAUUUCAACGACUGGAACCUAAAAUGUUGGGGAAAAGUAAGAAAUGGGGUUAGUACGCCUCUUGUACGAAGUAUGAGACCAUAUGCACACAUACUUUGAAAAACAUGCUAAGAAAAUGGGACAUCUCAUGCAUUUUUUAUUUAAAACCUUUAUGCCCAUUCAACAAGACAAUAUAAAUUAAUAUUGCAUAUUCAACAAGAUCAUACCUAUUCAUAGGACAUGUUCAUUAAGUCAUAAAAAUGUAUAUUACCAAACGAACAUGAUCAAGUCUAAUAAAGUCAACAUGCAUAGCCUAUAAUUAGGUACAUAUUCAAGUAAUUUUAUCAUCAGGUCAUAUUAACAAUGAAAAUUAAUAAGAUUACAUUUUAAUCUAAUUAAAGCAAGACAAUUACCCAUUAACCCCUAUCAAUUCAACAAGUGAAAUUACCUAGAAAAGCCCCAUAACCUUACUCUAUCAAGUAACAAACAAGAAUCAUGACUAACAUCCUACUUUCCAUAAAAUGGAAUUUAGAUAUACAUUUCACCUUACAUUAAUAAUAUAAACCAACACAUUCAUAAGUGAACUAAUCAAUAUAUGGUAUCAACAAUGUGCAAGUUCAUCAUAUACAUAUCAUAUAUCAUUAAAAGUAUAAUCAUACCUAAAAACAUCCUCCUAAGACUCCCCUAAAGACUAACUAGUGCAAUACUUAGGUAGAGUCCCAUACCCAUACCUAAACUAAGUUAUACACCUGUGAUUAUCUUAUUUAGCAUUCAAUCCUUUUGUUCAUUUUACUUUUUGGGAACAUUUUGCCCUAACCGACUGUAAGACCUCACAAAUGAUUUCGGUUAACUAGAUUCUAACACGGUUAUCAUGAUUGUAUAAGGUCCUAAAUUGAUAUAUUAUAUGAUAUUGAGGCGGUGUCUAAGACUUUAGGUGCAUUGGAAGUCAAACGUCAAAGGACAACUAAAACGUCCGAAGACUAAGUAACCUAUAUGCCUCAUAUGUGGUUUUAUGUGAUUAGAUGUGUUUUAUGAGGUUUUAAGGUCAUUAUAAGAGUUAUUAUAGUAUAUAUAGGUAGUGCGUCAAGUUUUUUGAAGUUUGGAGGUCAAACUUCCUAGAACGUCUAUGACAUUCGAAAGUGUUGCCUUGGAAUUACCUUAUGUGUCUAGGCAUGUUUCGUCAAAUUUUAGGUGUUCGUUUUUGGUGGAUUUUAGUAAGAGUUCCUACACUCAUAUACGGUCAUGUUUGGGUUGGAAAAUUAUUGGAAAAAAUCCCCAAGGACCACCCAAGGGUCCUUGAGGAAGGAUCCAAGUAGGUGCCCAUAACAUUCCAAGACAGCCCAACCAACAGUCGGCAAUCGACGCUCAGUGGUUCAGUCGAUGCUCUGUUGGUGAGGUCUCAUAGAUUUAGGAUUAUGUUUGGAUAUAGGAAACCCAAGACAGGUCUCAGUACCAGACAAAAGACUAACAGGACGGUUCGUUGGUCAAGGGACGAACCGUCGAUGGGCAACUGUCGAUGGGGUCUUCUCUCUGCGCAGCUUCACUGUAAGUUGAGGAGUGCACUGUUAGUUUCACCCCACUUCAAAAUAAGAGGUAUGGAGGUUUCUAAGGGGUCUUUGGGUAUCAUCAAAUGUGUAUAUAUGUCUUUAACACUUAGAAAAAUUCAUACAUCUAAAAUCAAAACCUAAACUUCUUAUAAUUCUCUAUAAACUACAUUGCAGUCAAAACUCAAGGAAGGUCUUGGAUUGACUAAUUGAGUGGAUAUUCUUCAGAAAAUUGAAUAAUUAGAUUCAUCAAGGUAUGAAUUUUGAUCCUUGAAACUCUCUUCAUCAAGGAUACCAACUUUCGAAGAUGUUUUCUAAAGUUUUCAAGUUGAAUUGUCAAAUUUUACGAUCUAUUCCAUGGGUUCUUGCAUUAAUGGUAUCUAUGACGAAUUGAAUUGUUAUUGUAUUGAUGAUUUCAAACUAAAAUAACAUAUGAACCCAUUAAUUGGAUGAACCCUAGUUAUUGACUAAGUUAUGAGUUACCUAAUAUUGAUCUAAUAUUGAUUAAUUCAAACGUAGUUUUAUCUAGGCUAUUGACUGAUGUAAUAAUUGAAGUAAAUUUAUAUCUAGGUUGUAUUAGAUUGAUGAAUGUGCAUUAAUUUGACCUAGUUUCAUGAAUAUUGUGAUAAUUAUAUAGAAUUGUUGGUUAUGACCAUGGGUAGGGGACUUGUGAUAUCGAAAGUGGUGAUUUGGCAUUGGAUAGAGGUGUUGAGGAUCAUGUGGUCGUAAUAUGUGCUAAUUUCUUUGUUUUAUGAACAAUUAGACUUCUAUUAUAUUGUGAUUUCUAUGGUGGCGGUGUUAUGUGGUUUACUUGCAUUUGAUGUGGACUUGUCGGUGUUAUUUUAAGUAAUGUGAUGAUCAUGGCCUUAUCGGCAAACUACUUUAAGUAAUGUGACUAAUUGUAUAGUUUAUUAUGUGAAAUAUGGUAAUAUCUAUCUACAUUUUAAGUAAUAUGGAACUAUAAGUACUCUAUUGAUGUUAUGUCGGUGAUCAUAAUAGACUAUGAAUGUGGCUUUUUGUGUAUAGUCUUAGUGUUGAUGUAUGCUUUUCCAACUUGACUAUAUGAGUCUAUGAUGGUCAUGAUUAUGUUUAUAUGAUAGUGUAUAGGAUGACUUCAAGAUUAUAAGUGUUAUUUCUAUAUGCUUCUAGAAUGACAUGUAUUAUGAGUGAAAGUAAAGUAUGUGGUGUCUUGUCUUGGUUGACUUGUGUCCCUUGACUUAUGUAUGUAUGAAUGUAAAUAUGUGAUAGAUUGACUUAGGAUGUUAAACUAUCUUAUGUGAAACCUUGAACCUAGUGGUAAGGUUAUGAAUGUUGAAGUCGUAAGUUUUAAUAAUUUCAUAAAAAUUAGAGGAAUGAUAGACUUAAGGUUAAUUGGCUUGAAAAAAAUCACAUUAAUCCUUAGAGAAGUCAUGAUAAGGUUCUUUUAUCUUUUGUGAGGUAGCCCUAGUGGACCUUUCUUUGGUAGGGUAAAUGUGAUUGGGUUAUAAAUUUGAUAUAGAACUAUUUUAUAUGAAUUUUAAGUGUAAAUUACUCUAUGAGAAAGAAGACUACCACCGAGUGAGUAUGGUAAGUGAAGUUAUUCUAGUUAAUGAAUUAUACUAGAUAACAAAGCAUGCCCUUCUCUUUUACCAUGUGCCUACAUGGGAUGUGUCUAAGUUCUACAAUUGGCAAGUAGAAAACCCUCAUCGGAGUAGGUUACAACAUAGGAUUCCAUGCUUUAUUAUCAUUAUCUAUGUCUGUUAUUGCCUAUUAUCAUCAUAUGAAAUACCUAUUAGCAUUACAUAAGUUCAAUGAAGUUUAGGUGGUGGUAUGGGAUGCUAUCUAGACAUUGCACAAUACAGUUUGAACGUGUUAGGUGGAGUUCCUAGGUCUUGUGCAAGACAAUUACUUGAAUGUAUUUUAUGUGUUGAAUGUCUCCUAUAUGAACUAAUGAAAGUAAUAACGUAAGUAAAGAAAGUAUGCUAAAUAAAUAAGUACUUACCUAGAGUAGUUAAGGGUUUUCUAGUUAAGGUGUGAAGGAAGCAUAGGAAUGUUCACUUUGUAUCUUACCUAGAUGAGUCUUAAGAAUGACUCUAGUUAGGGAAAUAGUUGAAUAUGUAAACAUGAUCUAAACUUAGGUAGUCUUGAAGAGGUCAAUCAUGGACGUUAUCUUCUUGAUUUACUUAAGUCUUUUGAUAUCCUUUGGUAUGAGAAUGUCAUAUUAUAUAUGUUAAUGUGUUAAAUGAGAAUAAGUCUAUCCCAGGUAUUCUAUACGAUCUCUUAAUUGUGUCUGUUAGUGAUUGUAUCGGUGGUCCUUCACAACUCACUCAAGUAAAACAUAGAAUCACCUUUGGUAAAAGAAUCUCAUAUUUAUAUGUUUGAUGUAUUCUAAGUGUAAUGUGUCUUAUUAUAUGUAUUCCUGAAGGUCAUUUAGGUAUGCUUAGGGAGGUUGUAAGCAUGGUCUCUCUUUGUGUAUCUUAAGUGAGUCUUACGAUGGCAUUUAGGGAGACUACAUGCUAGGAAGUGUUUAAGGUGAAUAGAAAUCAUUUCACUGUAAAAGUGAAGAACUUCAUUAUACAGUGAAAUGGAGUUACUGUAAAGUACUUCCAAAAAUGUGAUUAAUCGUUUAAAUGUUAUCUUAUGUGUUCCUAUGUUUUUAAAUGUUACUCUUAUGAUUAUAAUAUGAUUUUUAACUGAAAAUAUGCAUAGUUCUAAUAAAUGUCCGUUUUCAUGAUAUUGAUGCAUUAUGCCAUAUUUAGUACAUAUGGUUGUACUAAUCCAUUUUUUAUAUAUCUCUAUAGUUGUUGGUAGGUGAGGAGCAUUUGGGAAGUAAAGAUUUGGAUCAUAGCAUCAUUCAAUUAAAGUCAAAGUAUGUUCCCAUUUGAUUCGAGGACAUAGAUGUCUUUUAUGUUUCUUAUUGAAGUAUUGUAAUAAACAAAAUAUUUCUAUAUUCAUAUUGUGUGUGGGUCGUGUCCCAUUUAUUCUCAUGUCAUAUGUUUGAUUAGAUUGAGACAUAGGAUUUCCUAUGACUUCAUAUGAAAGUGCUUUUUAAGACUAUGAUAUAUUUUGUGAAAAUUUUUAAUUCCGCACUAAUUUUCAUUAUGUAUAAGCGAUGAAUGAUAUGUAAGGGAUUGUACAAGACCUCCGAGAGGUCAACUAUGCCGGUUACAAUUCUAGAAUUCCCCUAUUUUCUGGGGUGUUGUUUUGGGAUAUGACAAGCUUGGUAUCAAAACAUAGCUUAUGAAAGUAGUAUUAGGAAUCAAGAAGUUUCAUCAAGUCACGUCUAUUAGAGUCUUGAUCAUCGGUGUGAUUCGUGAUACAUCUAUGGGUGAGAGGCUAUAGGACAAUAGAGUUUCCCUUCUUUUCUACUCCUAUGUCGUGCCGUAGAGUAAAAGUUAUGAGUACUCUUUUCUUAUUGUUUUCCUUGUGUUUCGAGGACAAUGAAUACGAGGCAAACACCAGCUAGGAGAGUUGAGUAGAUUGAGGUGCAAGAGGAUUCCCUCCUCAUUGUGAGGAAGUUGAGAAAUUACUCAAGCUUCUCAAGGUGAUAAAGUCCCUAUUGUGGCUGGAGAUGAUGACGUCUUGGAGUUGAGUAAUAGGGAUAUUCGAGAAGAUUGGCUUGCUUUAGUUUGAGCCAUGACUACUCAAGUGAAUUUGAGUAUGGUGUCUAGGGUGAAUCUUGUAGAGAACACUAUGACGUCUAGGUUAAGGGAUUUUGUGAGGAUGAAUCCUCCUAUCUUUCUUGGCUUCAUAGUGGGAGAGGAUCCCCAAGAAUUCAUAGAUGGAGUGUACAAGGUGUUAAGUGCUACGGGAUUUACAUCUAGGGAUAAGGCGGAGUUGACUUCGUACCAAUUGAGGGAUUUGGCUAUGUGUUGGUCUACGGUUGACAUUGAUGCCCUGUCCAUCCACACACGGAUCGUCGACUGCAUCUCAUGGUUGCACACUGCCCAGGUAGUGUUGACAUAAACUUUCAGGAGUCCUCCUCAAGGGCCCUUGGUUUGUCCUUGGGGAUUAAUACCUGUAUGUUUCGACCAAGAAUUAACUUAAUCACAUGUUAGACACCCUUACACGAAUUAUACCAUUUUCCGACUCCUAAAAUCUAGUCAAAUACGCUUAGGCAUGCUAGUACCUCCUAGAACUAGUUUCCGCACGUCAUGGACGUUCUUGAAUGUUUUGGUUUCUAGACUUUCUAAAUGACAUAUAUACAUUAAAAUAGGACUUAAAAAGUGUCUAGAACAUUUGACACUUUUGUUAGGCUUUAAGACACGUCUUGGAUUUUUGAACAGUUAAAUUCUUGUUUAUGCAUAAGGAUUUUCAAAGUAACUUAGCAUGCUCUAGAUCAAAUUUCCUCUUUUUCAAUGAUUUCAAAGUAUGCGUGUGCAUAAGUUAUAAUAAUUAGUACAAGUGAUGUACUUACCCCUAUUUCUCCCUUUUCCCCAAAAUUUUAGGUUCCAUUUGUUGAAGAGGUUGUGGUCGAUUUUAAAGAAUGGCUUGGAUCAUUUUUCCAAGUGUAGGUAUGUCCUCAAGAUCCAAGGAUGAUUCCUUUCUCACUCUACCUAUGUUACUUGCUUUAGUCUACGGACAUUCAUUUCACUCUUAUUGUUUCAAGACAUUGUUGUAAGCCCUAAGUGGCAUAUAUACAUUUGUCACGACUGGGCCUCAAUGGGUUGAGGGUUAGUAAAUGGUGGGCGUGGUUUGGUGUCUGCAAACUGGUGCAAGACACGGCCAAGCCAAAGGUUGUUUGGUAAAUUCCGUUCAUGGAUAUUUAAGUAAAGGGGCGAUUAUAAUUGGUUAUUUUAGGUAUAUUUAAGUAUUUUCAGUCAUAAAACAAGUCUUACACCUUAUAUACAAAACCCCAAAGGCUCCCACUUCUCUCUAGAUUCUCUCACUACUUAAAGACUCAAUUGAAGAAGAAGGUCAAAGCUUAUAGUAGGUAUCAAGAACAAGGAUUCUACCCAUUGAUCCUUCAAGAUUGACAAUGUAUGGGGACACUUCACUCUUGGGACUCCUUUCCCCAAGAGGUUCAUUCAAAUUGAUUUUCAAUGUUCUUCCAACUUUGUAGAUUUCACUCAAUAUCGUGGGUCACCUUUAAAAUUAAUUUAUUUGGCCUAGAAUUGAUUAAUUAUGAUUAAAUAUGAAUUUUUAUAUGUAAAUUGAUUUAUUGUUUAGUUUUUUUAACCUAAUUCUCUAAAUACACAAGAAUGUCCCCCUUCAACUAACCCUACCUCUUGAAUUAUGUUUAUUGAUGAUUAGAGGUGAUAUAAUUGAGUAUUUUCUUGAUUAAUUGACUAUUGUGUGACGACAAUAAUUGAUUUGAUGCAUAAAUAUCAUGGAUUUAGGAUGAACUCUUUAAAAGGGUUUCUUCGAGGCCAUUGGUAAUACCUUCAAGGUUAUAAAAAUGUUAUUAUACUAUUGUUGGUCUAUCUUUGGUUAUUUUGAUCACUUGAAGUAUGAAUGAUGAAGUUAUGAAUAUAUUGUCAUGACAUGAAUAUGAUGAAUUGUUCGAUUAGGGUAGAUGUGCUAUUAUGAGGAGUUGAAGGUACUUCUUAUGUACAUCUUAUGACUAUGUUAUGAAGUAUUGUUCUCACAUGAUAUUGGGUUUCUGAUUAAAGGACUUUUUCAUCGUACAACCUGUGAGAUAUGAACAUGUUAUAAGAGGAAUUAAAAUCUUAAGACCUAUCUUAUUAAUUUAUGUUAAUAAAGACUUUAAGACACUUCAAAAAGGGAAUUUAGCUUAACACCGAGUAAACUUUAUAAUUAGAGGUGUUCCUUCACAAGGAAGUAGAUUUACACUAUAUUCUCUCAUUAAGUGGAAACUACAAUUUGUUAGCAUAAAGAUGGUUUUAAGUAACAACCUCAUAGUUCCUUAAUUAUGUGCCCCCAUUGGAAACUUUGCUAGUGGAUCAACCUAGAUUCUAUACGAAUGUUUCUGUAUUACCUUAACAAGUAGGAUACCUUCCUUUUUGUGUGAGUGGACGACACAUAUUCGAUGUAGCUCACAUGGUCUAUGUCGAUUAUGGAUAAUUCCUCCAAAUGUUAAAAUCAAUGAAACAAAGUAUGAAGAUGAGCAUUAAAUAGAACUACUUCAGAGGUGUACUUAGUAUAGGUAAGGGAAUUGAACAUUACCUAGACAUUGCAUAAGUGGACGUUGAGGAGAAUUCUAAGGUGUGUUGUGUAUAUACGCUCUGAAUGAGAUACAUGAUUUUGGUCUCAUAUGAUAAGUAUGAUAUUGGUUUAACUAAAUAUACAUUAUUUUGGUCUAAAUUAUGAUGAUGUAUGAGGUAAGAGACAAUGUUUGUGAUCUCUUGGUUGGUUUACUUGGUUUAUGUGGGGUUAUAAGACUUUUGUUACACAUUGAACUAAUGGACUUGGUUUGGGGAUAAAGAUUAAGGUAUUGUGAUGUAUUGAUGAAAUAAACGCUUAGUAUGAAUUUUUUACCAUGGCUUUAUUAUGCUGUUAAUUGUGAAUAUGGUUAUGACUUGUUGUUAUUGUAUGGACUUGUUCAUUGUCUUGGUAUGUGCAUGAAGGCAUUUAAAGUGCAUAUAGCAUGCUUGCUAAUAAAAUGUCCUUUUGUGCAUGUUUUCAAAUGUUUUACUUCAUAUGUUACCAUACUUAAUAGAUGUGGUUUGUACUAACCCAUAUCUCUUCUAUUUUCUACACAAAUUUAGGUUCGGGUCAUUGAGGUGAUUCAAAGAAAAAUUUCUCAAGAAGCUUGGAUUGUUUCCCAAGUUGGUGAGUCCGCCAUCAUGGGGACAACACCCUAUGACUGUAGCUUUUAUUUGUUUUCAUUAUAUUGAAAGAAAUUGUUCAACUUCUCCUAUUUCAAGAAAUAUAUUUUAUUCAUUUUAUAAGACAUGAAAUGAUGUAAGGUCUAAGUCCCAAUUUUCAUACUCUUAUGUUUAGAUAGUAAUGUAAGAAAAUUUAGUUCUAAUUUGAUACAUAAAGUGAAGUUGAACUUCAAAUGAAAAUUUUUUAAUUUUCCGCUUUUGUUCCAUCUAUGAUGCUAUGAUGAAUGCUAAGGGCUUGUCUAAGACCUCUUCGAGGUCGAAGACACCGGUUACGACUAGGGGGUACUCUCGGGUAGCAACAAACUUGGUAUCGGAGAAUGAGGUUGAACUAUAUUAGGAAUGAUGUCUCAUAAAACCACUUCUAUGUAGAGUCUUUUUCAUAAUUGUGAAGCGCGCCACCCUUAUGAAUUAGAGGCUAUGUGAUGCUUAGUAAAUUCUAACUUCUUUUGGUAUUCUUAUGUCGUUCCUCAAGAGUCUUAACUCUAUGUGUCAUUUUAUUCUAAUCCUUCUAUUGUAGAUAUAGCCUAUGACUACUAGAAUGGUAGUCGCAAAAAGGGUUUAAGAGGAGAUUUCUAAUAAGGGAGUUCCUCCCCAAGAAAACCAAGCUCUUCUAGGUGGCCAAGCUUUGGUUAAUCCUCGAUCAUGACGGAUGGAGAGACAAGAAUGGGUUUCCUAAACAUUACUCAAGUCAUGACUACUCAAGAUCAAGUUGUAACUACUAAAGUUAUAUCUAUGACGGCACAAUAUAAACAAGAAGGUAUGGUCACUAUUAGUUCCUAGUCAUGUCCUUUGGUCUAACUAAUGCUCUGGCGACUUUCAUGGACCUUAUAAAUAGGGUUUCUCGGGAUUACCUUGAUUUGUUUGUAUUCGUCUUUAUUGACGUUCAUCUUGAUAUAUUCUAAGAGUGAGGAUGAACACAUGAGUCAUUUCUGGAUAGUUUUGCAAGUCUUCAAGGAACACCAACUAUUUGCUAAAUAAAGUAAGUUUGAAUUUUGGGUAAGAUCGAUUGAUUUUCUUGGUCACAUUGUGUCUAGUGUGGGUACAGAGGUUGAUCAAUAAAAGACAAAGGUGGUUAAGAAUUGGCCUAAACCUCUAACACCCAUCAAUAUUCGAAGUUUCUUGGGUUUAGUCGGGUAUUAUAGAAGAUUUAUUGACGAAUAUGCAUCUAUUGCUUCUCCAUCAACUACCCUUACCCAAAAGAAAGUAAAGUUUGAAUGAACAAAAGUUUGUGAGAAAGGCUUCAAAGAGUUGAAAAAUAACCUUACCUCCGCUCUAGUUUUGACUUUACCGGAGGAUACCAAAGGGUUUGAGGUAUAUUGUGACGCUUCUAUAGUAGGUAUUGGGUUUUGUCCUCAUGGAACAUGGUAAAUUUAUAGCCUAUGCCUCAAGAUAACUCAAGGUGCAUGAGAAGACCUAUCCGACCAAUGAUCUUGAAUUAAUGGCCUUAGUGUUUGCUUUGAAACAUGGAGACACUAUAUAUGUGGAGUGCAUAUAGAUGUUCAACGAUCACAAAAGUAUCCAAUAUGUGUUCACCCAAACAGAGUUAAACCUCCGGUACACAAAGUUGUUAAGGUUUUGAAAUAUUACGAUAUGAGUGUCCUUUACAGUCCCGGAAAGGCCAAUGUAGUCACAGAUGAUUUGAGCUGCAUGUCCAUGGGUAGUGCUUCUUAUGUAGAAGAUGAGAAAAAAGUGUAAGUCUGGGAUAUAGAUAGGUUGGCCUAUUGGGUGUCCGACUAUAAGAUUGUCCAAGAAGGGUUUCACGGUUCAUCAUAACUCCAAGUCGUCUUUAAUGGUUGAGGUGAAAUCUAAACAACAUCUUGAUCCCCUACUAAUGGAAUUAAAGGAAUUGAUGAUUAUUAAAUCUAAUGAGUCUUUAUCCCUAGGGAAGGAUGGCACUUAAGUACCAAGAUAGUUUAUAUGUGGCAGAUAAAGAUGGCUUAAGGUAGAAAAUUUUGGAAGAGGCUCAUGAUUCUCGAUACUCCAUUCAUCUGGGUCCCACAAAAAUGUAUUAUUACCUACUAAGAUCUAUUGGUGGAACGGGAUGAAGAAAGAUAUCACGGACUUUGCGACCAAGUGUUUGAAUUUCCAACAAGUCAGAGCCGACAUCAGAGGUCGGGUGGUUUAUAUCAAGAAAUGGAUAUCCCUACUUGGAAGUGGGAGGUUGUCAGUAUGGAUUUUGUGGUAGGUUUUCCUCGAACUAGAAGGCAAUACGACUCCAUUUGGGUUAUUGUUGAUAGUUUGAUAAAAUUAGCUCAUUUCCUUCACAUCAAGAUUAGUUAUUCGGUGGAGGAUUAUUCUAAGGUGUAUGUAAGGGAGAUAAUGAAGUUUCAUGGAGUGCCUUUGUCCAUUAUCUCGGAUAAUGGCGCUCAAUUAACUUCUCACUUUUGGAAGUCAUUUAAAUAAGGGAUAGAUACAAAGGUGAAAUUUAGCACGGCAUUUCAUCAUCACAUGGAUGGUCAAGUAGAAGAGACCAUCCAAACGUUAGAAGACAUGUUGAGGGUAUGUGUUAUUAACUUCAAAGGUAAUUGGGAUGAUAUCUACCAUUAAUAGAUUUUGCUACAACAACAGAUACCACUCAAAUAUUGCCAUGGCUCCAUUUGAAGAAUUUUAUGGUAGGAGGUGCCAAUCUAUGAUAUGUUGGUUUGAAGUAGGUGAGUUUGCUCUUCUUGAUCCUGAGAUUGUCUAUAAAGCUAUUGAAAAAGUUUUAUUUAUAAGAGAUAGGGUGAAAAUAUCUCAAAGUAAGCAAAAGUCUUAUGCCGAUAAUAGAAGAAGGGACUUUGAGUUUGAGGUAUGUGAUUGGGUCUACUUGAAGAUUUUACCCAUGAAAGGGGUAAUGAGAUUUGGUAAAAGGGGAAACUUAAUCUCGGUACGUGGGCGCUCAUGAAAUUUUGAAGUGGGUCGGGAAAGUUGCUUAUGAUUUGAAAUUGCCAAAUGAGUUGGCCACAGUUUACCCAGUGUUCCAUGUUUCUAUAGAAGUGUAUAGGUAACCCAGUAUCUAUUCUCCCUCUAGAAGGUUUAGGGGUGAAUGAGAACCUUUUGAAUGAAGAGGUUCCGAUUGAGAUCUUAGAUCGUCAAGUUAAGAAAUUGAGGAAUAAGGAGGUUUCCUUCGUUUAAGUCCUUUAGAAAAGCCACCCAGUUGAGGUUGCAACAUGGGAGGUCGAGGCCGACAUGAAGUCCCGCUAUCCUCACCUUUUUUCUCUUACUCCUAACCAAAAUUGAGGUUAGUAGUUUCUGUAUGAUGGUACUCUAAUAUGUCCAUACUAAUGUGGAAAUUCAUGCUUAGAUUCUAUUUUUGGUUUUCAUUUGUUUCUCAUGUUUGAGUUACACUCAUUUGUAAUAUGUUAUAUUGUUGUAACAACCCUCAAAAUGAAUUCGUUCAAACUAGAGCUUCGCAUAUGUUUCAUGAGUUAUAUAUGUAUUAAAUAGUUAAUUUUAAUCUUUAUGGUAUGUUUGGAAGUCAAAUGUCAAGGGAUGACCAAGACGUUUAAAAGCUAGCCUAGUGUGUGUGUGCUAGUGUGUCCUUGUAUGUCGUAUGUGUUUUUAUGUGUUGUUUGGAGUCUAAAAUCAGUAGGGAUUACCCUAACCCCUAGUGUGUCCUACUAUUCCUUGUAAUACUCCGAAAGUCUAAAAGCUCAAUCUAGAGAAUCACAUGUUGGUCUAAGGUUAGAAGCACUGUCAUAAGGCCUAAAAUAAUGUUAAUAAACCAUUUAGGAAGUUUUAGGCUCAAGAUGUUAACAAACGUCCAAGAUGUCUGGAAGCUAGUCUAAUUUAGCUAGUGGAAUGCCGUUACGUUAUGUGAAAGUUUGGAGGUGUUUUAUAAGGUCUCAACCUUGUAAAAUGACUUUAAAAAGGUAAAACUAUGUGUAUAGGCUAAAAACGUCAAGGUCCAACCCACCAAGGGUCGCCUUAGGGGUCCACGAAAGGACCUCAAACUCGGCUUGGCAAGGCUAAAGCAGCAGCCAAAUUACAGAUGGCAGAAACAAGUACGAGUCGCGGACAUGGGUUACAUUUGGUCCAAGAUCAAGUCUACGUCAUGGGUAGUCACGAAUUCCACUGUCUUGAAAAAUAAUUUAUAAAAUCAUGCGGGAACAGCUCUACGUUGCGGAUUUGUUCCCCGACGAAAAGUAUAAAUUUGGAAUUCAAGUUUUACUUCAUUAAAGGGUCGAUUUAAGUGAGGGGUCUUUAGGGUAUUUGAUGGGGGGUCUAUAUUUUGAUUUUAGAUCAGUUUCCCAUAUAUUUUACCCACUCAAAUUAAAUCCCCAAAUAAAAAUCCAAAAGCUCUCAAGUAUCUCUAGUUCUUCUCUUAAUUAAACCUCCAUUGAAGGAAGAACAAAGCUUGAAUAAGAAGACCAAUAUCUCUAGGAUUUAAAUUAAUUUUUGUGUAUUAAUCUUCUGUAAGGUAUGGGUUCUUAAUUCUUGGGAUUCCUCUCCCCAAGAGGUCCUCUCAAAAUUGAUAUCUAAAUCACCAAAUUCCAAGGGUUUUUCUAUUCAAAUGGGUUUUCUUCUAAACUUGAAAUUGAUGAUUGAUUAUGACUAAUUGUGAUUACCCAUGUAUAUUCAAGUAUAAAUUGUUUAGUAAUUGAUACUAAUUGAGGGGAUUUAAUGUGGAUCAUGUUCCUUUCCCCAAAUUCCUGAAAUCUUGGGUCUUGCUUAUAAAUUUAUGGGAAUUGAAGAAUGUAUUGAUUGUUAGACUUGUUUUUAUCUAUUAUAAUUCAUUCAUGUACUGCCUCGGAUAAUUUAUUGUUGGGAUUGGAUAUAUUUCUUGAAAAAUUCAUGAUUAACCCUAUUCCCGUAACCGUAGGUUAUGAAUCGAAGAUAAUUGGGAUAGUGAUGAUGCAAUUGACCUAGUUAUAGUGUUAAUUACUAUUGUGUGGUGGUGUUACAUCCAUUAUUGGGUUGAAUUGGAUGGUUGAUAGUAAAACCAUAGAUGAUGGCUUGUGAAGGAGAUUUGGUAAGUAUUGUGAUCUCAACCCUUUUACUUCAAUUAUGAUUACUUGUGUUUAGUAAUAAAGUUAUAUUGAAGUUUACAUUAUGAUAAGACUGAUUAGGGUUGGUAUGAUGUUGAAUCAAAAUGUCUUGAUUUAUGGCUUGUGAGUUUUUGGCUAAGAUGUAAUGAUAUUAGGUUGGUAAGUAUUUACCUAUCUGCAUUAUUAUGAUAUGUUGAUGUAAAUAUUCUAACCUCACAUGUGUGAAUUGUAAUGAAAGGACAAUACUCAUGCAAUUCCUACUGAUCUAUGAUGAUAAAUAUAUGAGGGGUAGACCCUAUGACAUAAAACUUAAUAAUAAUUGUUAAUGAAAUACACUACAAAAGGGACUCUAUCUUAGCACCGAGUGAACUAGAGUGAGGAGUGUCCCUUCCCUCUUAGAGAAGGUAGGUUCACUAAUGUACUCUUGAGAUUGGAGACUAUAAUUCAUAUAGCAUAAAGAGGAUCCCAAAUAAAUUUUCUAGUUCUUGAACUAUGUUGCCCCAAUAGGAAUACUAGCUAGUGGAUCCACAUAGAUGAUGUGUUCAUGUUUUGGUACUACCUUGGAAAGUACUCCACCUUCUUUUGGUGUAGGGUUCCAUGACACUAGAUUUCACAUUUGCUCAAGUGGUAUAUGUCCGUUAAGGCAAGAUGUUCCCAAAAGGUAAAAUGAAGUAAUAAAGUGAACUCUAACUAGGAUGAUCUACGGGGUUUGGCUAAGUCUAGGUAGGGGUAUAGGACUCUACCUAUACAUUGCACUAGUUAGCCUUGAGGGAAGUCUUAGAAAGAUGUUCUUAUGUGCUUAUUUGCUUAUGUGCUUAUAAUUGUAUGUGAUAUGUAUAUGAUGAUCUUAAAUGUUAAUGACACUAUGCGAUCUGGGUUUCACUUAUGUACAUGUGGUUGGUCUCUAUUGCUAAAGUAUGAUGAUGUUAUCUCUUAAUGAUAUAGUAUGUAAAGUUGGGUGUUGCUUAUAGUUUUUGUUGAGUUCAUUUGGUUAAGUAACGUUAUGGGGUUUAACUUAGCCAUUGCACUAGAGAAUUUAAUGGGGUUGUAUGAAUGAUGGUCUUGCUUAGGUUUUGAUAUUAUGAACUCUAUUCCAAGAUUAUUAAUAUUAUAAUUUGAUGAUAGAGUUGUCUUGAGUAUGUGCUUAAUUAUGUUGUUAUGCAUGUUGACUUGACUGAAUUCGGUAUUCUUGGUCUUUGAAGUACAUGGUCUUGACUUAUGUAAUAUGUGUUUAUUGACUUGUAUUGGUUCUUUGAAUGUGCAUAAGGUAUUUAUAAAGUGACUUUGCAUGCUUUGAAAUAAAUGACCCUUUUUAGUAUGAAAUCUAUGUUGUGUGUGCAUAUGUGCCCAUACUUAGUACAAGUGAGGUGCUAACCCCAUUUAUCCCUUUGUCCCAAACAUUUUAGGUUCUGGUCAUUGAAAGGUUCGUGAUGACUUUUGAAGGAAUGCUUGGAAUCAUUCUCCAAGUUGGGUAGGUCCUCACAACUUCUAAGACUAUGCCACUUUCUAGAAUUGGAUGUUGAUUAGUCUUAAAGAUACUUUGUUAAUUCUCUCUCAUUUGAGUACUGUGAUAGUAUAGCUUAUAUGUGGCUUGUAUUGUUUUGAUGUAAGGGUUAUUCCCAAUUGGUUUUACUCUUGUUUAGAUGGUUUAAUAUGAGACAUCUCUUUUAAGACUAUGUUAUGUAUUAUAUACAUAUAUGUGACAUAAAAUUAGAAGUAUAUGUAAUCUUCUUAUACUAAGGGUCUAUAUAUACUUGAUAUAAAUAUAUUAUGUGUAAGCGAUAGGUCUAUGUAAACCUCAUAAAGUAGUAUAGAUGAAAAGUUUUAAAUUUUACGCCUUUUUAACCUAUGAAUGUAAUGAUGAAUGCUAAGAAGCUAGUCCUACUCGUCUUUGAGGAUGACGACACAGGUUACGUCUAGAGGGUGAUCCUCGGAUGUGACAUUCCGAUAGUCUGAGAAGGGAUAUUUUUGGGUGAACACUCUUUGUGAGUUUAGAUGAAGUGUUCAGUAGCGACCUAACUAUUCCCAUUAAUCUUUCAAAUAUAGGUUGGAGGUAGAUUCCCUUCGUGAGUUGAGAUGUGGUAUUCCAAAGUAACCUAUAGGGAUACGUACCCUUUGUUAGUGAGAUGUGGUACUAAAAGUCUAUCCCUUAACCUAUUGUCUAUAAAUGUUUAAGACUCUGUGGGGGAGUUAUGCUUAGCACCGAGAUGAUUUGAAGAAGGGGUGGUUAUACUUUGUGAGUAGAGAUGUUAUAUCAAAUGUACCUCUUGAGAUGAGUGCUCCUCGUUAGUAGAGAAUGACUUUCUUAGUAGAAAUCUCAUUAUCCCUUAACUAUGCGCCCGUGUAGGUGUAGCUAUUGGAGAAUCCAUGUAAAGGCUAAAGACUAUGAACCUACCUUAAGGGUGUACUACUUAGGGUAGGUGGGGAAAUGGAACGCUAUCUAUCCAUUGCACAAGUAGAUACUUGAAGGGAGUCUUGGUAUGUUCUUAUAUAAAAUAUAUGAAUGGGUCAUUAAAUGUUGUAAAUGAAAGUAAUGUGACUUUAUGUCUAAUGUUAGGAAGCAUGUUGAUGUUAUGACUUGAUUGAUUGAAGCUAAAUAUAUGAUGAAUGUAAUGUUCCUAGUUUAAGGUUAUUCCGAAGGAGCUCUACGUGGAAGUAGUAGUACGGGAUACUACUUUCACAUUGCAUUAAGUGUAACUCGGGGGUUGUCUUGGACGAUGGUUUUAUGUGAAGCUCCUAAGUGUAUGUAAGUUCCUAUAGUAUCUUUAGUAUUGAAUGUUGACUUGUUAAAUGAAAUGAAGUAUGCUUGUCCUUGGUAGUCUUAAGGAUCACUUGGGUUUAUAGUGAAGAAAUUGUAUGGGCGAUAUGUUCAUGUCUUACCUCAGUGCGUUUUAGGAUAACUUGGAUAGAAAGAGUUAUGUGUUAAGUAGGAUUACUAUAAGUAUGUCUUUAUGUGAGAAAUAUGGAAGUUUUGCCUUAUUUUUUAAAUGAUGGCUUAUAUGAUGUUUUGAAAAUUGGUUCAUGAAGGUUUUAUGAAAAUAGCAUGACUUGUAUGUUUCAACUUAAUUGUCCCUAUUGCGUGAUUUUGCAUAAUGACAUACUUUCUACAAUGUUUGUACAAACCCCAUACUUUUCUCUACGUUUAGGUAGAAGGCAAGUGGAGGUUUUCUAGAAGGCUAUGCUUGCGAAGUUGAAUCUCAAUAUUUGGUAUGUCCUCAUAUAUUCAAGGACAUAGUCUUUGUUUCCUUAGUUUCUUCUUUAAGACUUGUGUAAGACUAUUUAUGUAUUUCUUUCAAUGUAAAGGGUCAUAAACCUAAGAUAUUUAAGAUGUAUCUUUAAGUUGGUUUAUGAUUAUGAGACUUACCUCUUUAGCUUUUAUAAAAGAGUUUCUUAUUUAUAUAGUUGUGAAAAGUUUUAUUUCCUCACUACUUUUCAUACUAUAUGUAAUGAAUGAUAGCUAAGAGGCUUUUGAAAGACCUACAUGAGGUCAAGCAAGCCACGUAAUGACUAAAGAGUGCUCUAACUUUUAGGGUGUACUUGCGGAUCAUUACAAUUGUCUUUAUGAGAGUUGAACGGUUCAUGUUUGAUGUUAUCAUGAUGAAUAAAUUUCAUGUUGCUCGCCAAAUGUACAUAUUGAUUCUCACUGAAUAUGUAGAAGGUAGUUCCUCCUAUACUUAUUUGAAGUGAUGAGUUUUGAGCAUAAUAAUGUUGUGAAUCAUGUUCCUAUGAAAUAUGAUGCCAUGAUAUUGAUUGAUAUGACUGUUGUUGUUCUGCUAGUUUUGAGUCAUUAUCCUCCCUAGAAAAGUUCAAGUGUCAUUUGGGGAUGAAUGUUCCUAAGGGGAGUAUUAAAACACCCUGUAAAUCCUAAGAGCUAAUAUAAAUCUUUGAAUGAAGUUCAAUAACUUCAAAAUAGUUAAAAUGAUCUUUUAAUACCUAACCUAACAUAACUAACAUAGAUUGAAAGAUUUAGUGCCUAAGCAUCAAGAAACGGCCCUGACAUUCAGAAACAAGUGAAAAUGAUAUAGCAUGUCCUUAGUCUUGUAAAGGGUUUAAAGAGUCGUAUGAGGGAUAAAUCCUGUAAAAGUACUUGGAAUACAUGUUUAGAAACAAAAAAUCCGGGUACGACUCCCCAAGAACCACACUAAGGGUCCUUGAGGAGGACUCAAACAAUUGACCCAAAAGAUAUCUAAAGACUGACCUACUAACAAGAACCAUUGACGGACCACCAAUGAGUUGACAUGGUGUCAAUGCACUUUCUAGGCCAAAACAUAGAAUUGUGAAGCUAGGAUCCAUUUGUCCAGUCUCUGACACAAACCACAGACAGCCAGGACAGGGCGUAAAUAGGUUGAUAGUCCAUCAAUGUUGGGCGUUGUUAGGUAUCUGCAAACUGGUGUAAGACACGUCCAAACCAAGGAUGGUUUGGUAAAUUCCACCCUUGUAAAUUUAAGUGAUGGUACGGUUAUAAUUGGUUAGUUUAGGUAUAUUAAAGUACUUUAAGUCAUAAACAAGUCUUUAACCUUAUAUAUCAAAAACCCCUAACGCUCCUACUUAUCUCUAGAUUCUCUCAAUACACAAUGACUUCACUAAAGAAGAAGGUAAAAUCAUUAAGUAGGGCUCAAGGACAAGGUCUUCCAUUCCUUAAGUAAUUAUAGGGUAUGGGAACUCUUCACUCUUAGGACUCCUUUCCCCAAGAGAUUCCUUCAAACUGAUUUUCAAUGUUCUUCCAACAUCCUAGAUUUCACUCAAUUUCGUGGGUCACCUUUAAACUUGAUUUGUUUUGUCUAUUAUUGGUUUAUAAUGACUGAAUGUGAAUGUUUAGGAGUGAACUGAUUUAUAGUUUAAGUUUCUAACCUAAUUCUCUAAAUACCCAUGAAUGUAUGUCUUCUUCUAACCCUAGCUCUUUAAUUAAUGUCUAUUAAUGAGUAGAGGUGAUGUAAUUGAGUAUGUUCUUUAUUAGUUUACUAUUGUAUAAUGAUGAUAAUUGAUUUGAUGUAUGAAUAUCAUUGAUUUAGGAUGAAAUCUUGAAAGGGGUUUCUUGGAGGCCAUCACUCAUACCUUCAACUUAAUGAACAUGUUAAUAUACUAUGGUUGGUCUAUUUUUUGUACUGUUGAUCACUUGAAGUAUGAAUGAUGAAGUUAUGAAUAUAUUGUAAUGAUAUGAAUUUGAUGAAUAGUGAGAUGAUGGUUAAUGUGCUAUUAUGAUGAGUUGAAGGUAAUUUUUUGUACAUAUUAUGACUAUGUUAUGAAGUAUUGUUCUCACAUGAUGUUGGAUUUUGGUUUUGUGAUGAGAGGACUUUCUCAUCAUGAAACCUAUGAGCCAUGAAUAUGUAAUAAGAGGGUUUAAACUCCAAAUACAUGUGUUACUAAUUGAUGUUAACAAAUACUUUAAGACAUUUCAAAAAGGAAAGUUAGCUCAGGACCAAGUGAACUUGAUAAUGAGAGGUGUUCCUUCAAAAAGGAAGGGAGGUUCACACUAUGUUCUCACACGACAUGGAAACAACAAUGCUAGUUAGCAUAAAAAGUGUUUCUAGUAACAACUUCCCAGUUCCUCAACUAUGAGCCCCCAUAGGAACCUUAGCUAGUGGAUCCACCUAGAUAUUAUACGAAUGCUUAUGUCUUACCUUGGCAAGUAGGAUAUUCUUCUUUCAAUGUGAGGGGAUGAAAUCGGAUUCCACAUAGCUCACAUGAUCUAUGUCGGAUAUGGCGAUGUAUCCGAAUGUUAAAAUAAAUGAAUUAAAAUAAGAAGAUGAGAACUAACAAGAAAUACUUAAGAAGUCUACUUAGUGUAGGUAAGGAAACUGGACUUUACCUAUACAUUGAACAAGUACACCUUGAGAGGAAUUCUAGGGUGGUUUGUUUAUGUAUAUAUUCUAUCAAUUAAAUGCAUAAGUUUUGUCUCAUAUGAUAACUAUGAUACUGGUUUCACUUAAUAUACUUGAUUUCGGUCUAAAUAAGUAAGCAUGGUACCACACUUUUUGUGAUGAUGUAUUAGGUAAGAGACAAUGCUUGUGACCUCUUUGUUUGUUUACUUGGUUUAUGUGGGGUUAUGAAGCUUCACAUACAUAUUGCACUAGUGGAUCGGUUUGGGGGUUAUGAGUAAGGUCUUGUGAUGUAUUGAUGAAAUGAACAUUUAAUAUGAAAUGUUGAUCAUCGCUCUAUUAUGAUGUUACUAGUGAAUAUGGAUAUAUAUUGUUGUUAUGGUAUGUACUUGUAUUAUGGGUUGGUAUGUUCAUGAAGGCUUUUAAAGUGCAUAUAGCAUUCUUAUAAGAAAAUGUGAUGUUGUUCAUAGUUUCAAUUGUUUUACUUACAUAUGUAUCCAUACUUAGAACACGUGGUUUAUACUAACCAAUAUCUCUUCUAUUUUCUACACAAAUGUAGUUUCGGUCAAUUGAGGUGAUUCAUUGCCAGAUUUCUCAAGAAGCUUGGAUUGUGUCACAAGUUGGUUAGUCCUCAAGUCCAGGGACAAUUCCCUAUGAUUCUAGCUUUUAGUUUUUUUCUUAUAUUGAAAGAUAUUGUUCCAUUUCUCCUAUUUCAAGGACCAUGUUGAAUUCAUUUUAUAAGACUUGAAAUGAUGUAAAGAUUAAGUCCCGAUUUACAUACUCUUAUAUUUAGGUGGUAAUAUGAGAUAAGUUAGUUCAAUUUUGAUACACGAAGUGAAUUUGAACAUCAAUUGAAAUAUUUUUAAUUUUCCGCUUUUAUUACAUCUAUGAUGUGUAUGAAUUCUAAGAGCUUUUAUAAGACCUCUUUGAGGUCGAUGCCGCCGGUUAUGACUGGGGGUACUCUCAGAUCGCGACAACACUUAGAGAAUUUUAAUUAAAAAUAUCACACUAAUAUAAAUAUACAAAUAAACAUAUAAGUGCCAUAUUGCAUGAAGAACAUAUACUCCAUGUAAAUUCAAGUCACGUAUGAUACAUGAAAUCUCACAGGAACAGGCAUACAUAAAGGAAAAUCAUGGAAGUUCAAAUAAACUUAUGACCCUUCAUAAGACAAAAUUAGGAGGGAUUAAUACCCUCAACUUUUGCUAGAAUAGGAAGGAAAGAGGUGAAGGUAUCGAGACAUCAUAUCAGCCUCGGCCUCCCAAGUAGCACUUUCUACUAGGUGCAUCCAAAGAACAUUUACGGAAGGUACUUCCUUAUUCUUCAACUUUAUCACUUCAAAGUCUAUAAUGUCAACUGAGACCUCUUCAUAAGAUAGGUUAGCAUCAGCUCCUAAGCCUUCUAGAGGAACGAUAGACACCAGAUCUCCUAUGAACUUUUUGAGCAUUGAUACAUGGAACAUCGGAUGCACCAAAGCCAACUCAAUAGGUAAUUUAAACUCAUAGGCAACACUUCCUAUGCUUUAAAAUAUUAUAUGGCCCCACAUACCAGGGACUAAGUUUCCACCUUUUCCUAAACCUCAUCACCCUUUUCAUGGGUGAUCUCUUCAAAUAGACCAAGUCACCUACCAUAAACUCAAGGUUCCUCUUUAUAUUGUCGGCAUAAGAUUUUUUCUGACUUUGGGAUGACUUCAAUCCAUCCCUUGUGAGUCGUACUUUCUACACGACCUCAUAAACUAUUUUGGGACCUAUUAAAGAAAACUCACCAACCUCAAGCCACCCAAUCACAGAUCUACAUCUUCUCCCAUAGAUAGCCUCAAAUGGAGCCAUGACAAUACUUGAGUAAUAGCUAUUAUUGUAGGCAAACUCAAUGAACGUUAGAUGGUUAUCCCAAUUACCGUUGAAAUCAAUGACAUAAGCCCUCAAUAUAUCUUCUAGGGUUCAAAUAGAUCUUUCCGUUAAACCAUCUAUUUGUGGAUGAAAUUUGGUAGUAUGAUUUACCUUGGUACCAAGAUGUAAAAACCCUAAAAAUGGAUACGCUAAGUAAUGCUUAAUGUGUCUAGAAUGCCAACGAUUGGACCGGGUUCACACGGAUUGAUGCGCGUAGAAAAGACCUCGAAACCCUUGCUAAAUCCAAGCCAACUAACUUGGGGAGUUAGUUGAUCUAGUAAAGGUUAAAUCAAACUAUGUAGGGCUCUUGAAUACGAAGAUUUACUCGAAGGAGUCUUUACCGGACAUAAAAAGAGGAAAUCAUAGGUUUGGAGGGUCUAGAAAUAAAAUGGUAUUUUUUCCAAGAUAAGGUUAGAAUCUUAAUUACCCUAAAUAUAUAAUUAAUUAUUUAAUUAAUAAGGUGGAGGGGCAUUUUGGGGAGAGAGGGCCGAAAUUGGGCUCUUCAAGUGAAAUCUUUCUUCACCCUGGUUCGAACCUAGGUGGAAGAAAUAAAUUAAAUUGGUUUUAAUUUAAGUUGGUAAAUUAAUGUAAUUAUUUAUAUUAAUUAGUUAUUAGAUUAUUCAAAAUAAAAGGAAAUAAGAUUUUUAAUAAUUAAAUAAAACCUUAUUUGACUAUGUCUUAAACUAGACUCCUAAGCCUAAGAAAACUCUUCUGUGCCAUGUUAAUCUCUCUCUCUCACGUCUCUAUCACUCUCAAUCACGUUUUAUCUGCCAAAAUAACUCCAAAAACAGUAGUUAAACCAAAAUUUUUAACACUUGAAGAACUCACAACAAAAAUAUAAGAAAACAAACGAAAUCAAUCACGUAGGCAAAGAUAAGUUUGUCCGUCGAGUUGGUGUUGACAUUGAGGGGAUUUGGACGUGAUUUUCGGAGUAGGUUUUCGGCAGCAAGUCGAGGUUUGAACAUCAUAAAAGGUAUGGGUUUUCUUAGUCUUGGUCCCUUUUCCAAGAGACCCAUAAGGCUUCGAUGAAUCUACUCGAAAACUAGGAUUGUUCCCGUUCUUGUCGAACUCCUUUUCCCUAGUAUCCCUUUGAUCUCAAUGUGAAAUAGGUUAGAGAUCAUGUUGUUGGUAUGUUUGCUUGUAGUUUAAGUAUGAAGUUUGGUUUCUUGGUGAUGUGUUCUUGAUUAUGUGUUUGGAAUUGUAAGCAUGUUAAGUUAUGUCAACCGAAAGUAUGAGAAAAAUGAUAUGUUUUUAUGGUUGAAAUUUAUGUGCAAAUGUUUGUGUAAAUCAUGAGGUGUAAAAGUGGUGUAAUGUUUCUAGAUUAAAUGGUAAUUCUUGGAUGAAUAUAUAAUCAUCAAAAUAUUACUCUUAAAGAUACACCAAAUGAUCCACGAAAUACCUUAAGAAUUAACGUAUGAAUGAUGAUAAAAAGAAGCUAAAAUUGUAAACAAAUUUCCAGCAUUUGGUAGGUUGGGUUCGGCUAAACAAAAUGGUACAAAAUGCAAUGAAAAAUGAAUAUAAAAUAAGUGAUAUCACUAAGGAUUGAACCCAAGACAUCAUUACAUGAAAGCUACCAAAAAACAAUCAACAAAAGAUUAAGAUGAAAUGGAUUGGAAGAGAAUAAUUUCCAGCCUGUUGGAAAUUGUAGUCUCGGCCAACUUUUUAAAAAAUAAGCUUCGUUUAAAAAAAAAUAAAUUUUAUGUCAUUGGGGAAUGAACCCAUGACAUCACUAAAUGAAAAUUUCAUAAAAAAUUUCAUGAGAAAAAUGCAAGGAAAAAUAGAUGUGGGGAUUGAACCCAAAACCUCUUGAAUGGAUGAGAGAGUUAGGAGAUAAAUAAUGGAGAAAUAAAUGUGGAGAGUGGGGAUUGAACACAGAACCUCUUGGAUAGGUAAGAAUGUUAAGAGAUAAAUUAAAAUUAAAAUAAUGAGCUUGUGGGGGAUUGAACCGACAACCUCCUUGACUUAAACGAAAAAAGGAGAGAAGAAAAAGAGAGGAAAUAUUAUGGGGUUUAUUGGAAUCAAACUGGGAUCCCCCAAAUCUGAAAGAUGUGAUUAUCAUGUUUAAAAUAAGAUUAAGUGUUGUCCAAGGAAUUCGAAAUCGGGUUCCCUUGCCCAAUUAUGUAUUGACACUUAAGUCAUAGGUAAGUAAAUAUUUAAUGAAUGCUGCCUCUAAUUAUCGAAAUCGAGAUCUUUGCAUAAAUACAAGAUUCAAAAGUCUUGUACUACAUAAUCUUAGGAAGAUAUGAAUCACUUAAAUGCACUAUGAAUGAAGCCUCGUGGCUUGUAUGUAUAGACCCAUAAGUCUAGCAUACGUUUAAAAAUAAGUGAACCUAAGAUGUAUGUAAUGAAAUGAUGUAACUACGAGUAUAAAACAUACUAAAUGGCCAAGUGCAUUGUCAUACAAUGAAAUGAUUAUUAUGUAAUGAAAUGAUGAAACACUAGAAGGGUUAAGUAAGAGUGUAAAACACACAAAUGGCUAAGUGCAUUGGCAUAUGAAGAAAUGAACAUUCACGUAAAAAGGGGUGAGUAAUUAUGAAGAGCAAAUGUGCUAAUGUUGAUGAAUGUGGUGAGAACAUUAUAUGAGGCUAAUGUAAAAGACGAGAGCAAUCUCAAAUGAUCCUAAGUAAAUGUUACCAAAACGUACUCACCUAUGAGAAUUUAAAGUUAAUGAAGAGACCAGUCUCUAUGAACACUUUAAUGGAAGUAUUGAACUUAACACACUUAAUACUAAUGAUGAGAUUAGAAAUCAUCUAUUGAGCUAUGAUGUCCUCAUACUAGAAGCCAGCUUCCAUUACGUAUGAGUUGAAUGUAAUGAAACUUUAUACUGAGCAUCGAUAGACUAGCUAUGAGCGGUGAUGCCUUCUUUUUGGAAGGGCGAAGGUUCACGUAACUCUCAUGAGAUGAGACAGUCCGGCAUGCCGGGUAUGGAUCUCCUUAUAUCUCCUAGUCUUCAAACCUAUACUGCCAACGAACCUAAUGAAAGUCUUAAACUACAUCCUAGGUAUAGCUGGUGUUUAUACUGGCCUAUGAUUUAAAUGAAAUGGAGUACAUAUGAAUGAAUGAAGUAGACUCUGUGAUUUAUAAUGAAGACUCUCUAGUUAAGGUCUCAUCUAUUGAGCCCUCAUUCCUGGGAUGUCUUAACGUUAAGUCCAUGAUUCCAUGGUUUUAAGGCAUAUGAAUGAAUGAUAUUAAAGAAGUUAUAUGUUUCAUGCAAAUUGUGUUGUAUGUUAUAUGAUAUGUGUUAUGUGUAAAUAUCAUGUGAUGUGUGCAAAUGUGAAAAGUAUGAUGAUGUGUGUUAAUCUCAUGGCAUAACUUUCCUAUUCAAAAUCAGAAAAGCUCACUGACUUUCCUAAUCCAAAUUUGGAAAGCUCAUUGAGUUUCCUAAUCAAAAUUUGGAAACAUUCCUAAUCUUAAUUUGGCAAGUCCACUGACUUGACUUCCAAAAAAUUGUUGUUAGGAAAGAGUUAUUCUUCCUCAUGCAUGUAUGUGGUGUGUGCUUGCAUAUACCCAUACUUAGUACAAGCGUGUAGUAACCCUAUACAAUCUCUACUAUUUUUUUAGGUGCAGGCACAGGUGGAUGAUAGUGCUACAGGAUCAUCGUUGCAGUUAUCCGGACGUCUAGCAUUCAUCCGGAUUUGGUAGGUCCUCAUUCGAGGAUGCUAUUGUUUUAUAUCCUAGCUUAGUUUUAGAGUUGAUCUAGUGGAACAUGUUCCACCAGCAUUUCUAUCCUAUUUUUAUUCAGACUAUGUAUUGGUGCCAUUUUGGCAAUUAUACACUUAAUAAGAAUUGAACUAUUUCUUUCAGUUGCUUAUCCCUUAAUGUUAGAUGGUGAAUAUUACGUAUUAAUGAGAAUCAUUUUAUAAGUACGUUAGGGAAAAAAAGUUUCAAAUUUUCCGCUAAAAUUAACCCAUGUAAAGUAAGAAUGACGUAAGUAGGCUUGUCUGUGACCUCUGAGAGGUCAAUGAUGCCGGUCUCGUCUGGGGGAUGUCGGUCAUGACACAAGUCCACUUUGGAAUGGAUUCCAAAAAAUGAGAAGUAAAUUGAGUACCCCUAUCCAAAAUAAUAGACAAGGGAACGCCACGCAUCCUCACAAUCUCCUUAAGAUACAAUUUAGCAUAGUCUUCCGCUGAAUAUUUAGCCUUGACGGGAAUAAAAUAGGCUGAUUUGGUCAUCCUAUCAAUAAUAACCCAAAUCGAAUCAUGGUCCCUUCAUGUACGAGGCAAACCCACAACAAAAUCCAUAUUGACAUCUUCCCACUUCCAAGUAGAGAUAGCUAUUUCUUGAGACAAACAUCCUAGUCUUUGAUGUUCGACCUUGACUUGUUGACAAAUAGGACAUUUGGCCACAAACUCCUCUAUAUCCCUCUUCAAACUAUUCUACCAAUAGAUCUCCCGCAAGUUGCAGUAUAUCUUCCUGGCUCCCCGGUGAAUGGAAUAUCUUGAACCAUGAUCUUUUCCAAAAUUUAUCUUCUCAAGUCAUCCACAUCCGGAACGCACAACCUACCUUGAUACCUAAGUACCCCAUCUCCCCCUUGGGAGAAAGCUUCAAUGGAUUUUCCAAGUACAGAGUCUUUCAACUUCAUCAAGACGGGAUCAAGGUGUUUGUUGGAUCUCAUAUCAACAACUAAGAAUGACUCGGAGCUAUUUUUUUAUCAUGACACAACCUUAAUCUACUUAUGGAACCCCCAAUUGGGCCAGUCUAUGCACAUCAUGGACUAACUCCUUUUUCUUAUCUUUUACAUGAGCAACACUACCCAUGGGCAUAUGUCUCAAUGAAUCCACAACUACAUAAGCCUUGUCGGGAUGGUAGAGGACACUAAAAUCAUAGUCUUUAAAAAUCUCUAGCCACCUUCUUUUUUGGAGGUUUAUCUCUUUUUGGGUAAACACAUAUUGAAUACUUUUGUGAUCGGUGAACAAAUCUACGUGCACUCCAUACAAAUAGUGUCUCCAUAUCUUCUAGGAAAACACCACGGCCGUUAAUUCAAGGUCAUGAUUUAGAUAGUUAUUUUCGUGUACCUAGAGUUGCCUUGAGGCAUAAGUUAUAACCUUACCAUGUUUCAUGGUGACACAACCCAAACCUAUUCGAGAAGUGUCACAAUAUACCACAAACCCUUUGGUACCCUCGACUAAGGUCAAUACCAGAGCAUAGGUAGAUUAACUUUAAAGUCUUGGUAGCCUUUUUCACAAGUUUCUGACCAUUCAAACUUAACUUUCUUUUGGGUUAGGGUCGUCAAUGGAGAAGCGAUAAAUGUGAUUCAUUAACAAAUCUCCUAUAAUACAUACACAAACCCAAAAGGCUUCGAACGUCAGUUGAAAUUAGGGGUCAAGGACAAUUCUUAACUUGCUCCAUUUUCUUCAGAUCAACCUCUAUACCCACACUCGAUACAGACCAAGAGAAGCAACUGGUCAUAGACAAAACUCGCACUUACUAUAUUUAGAAAAAAAAUUGGUGUUACUUGAGGAUUUGCAAAAAUAUCCUCAAAUGAAUCAUGUGUUCAUCCUCACUUUUGGAAUAUACCAAGAUGUCAUUGAUACGCUCAAACAUACUUCUCAAGUAAGAAGUAAAGCGGUCGUGUUAAGUAAAUAACCCAACAAGUGACGUUGGGAUCGUUCCCACGAGGAAAAUAGUCUAGACUUAACUUCAACCUGUUAUUACUAUUGUUUGGUCAAUGACUUCCUUAGAAAGUAAAAACAAUAAAAUGGGGGUUUCUAAUUCUAAAUGAAUGAAAAUAACUAAUGUAAUUGAAAGAGACACUUAACAGCUUUGAAUGUUGGAUUUUAAUCAAUUAAUCAAAGUAACUAGGGUUUAUGUGUUCCCCACAGGUUCAUAACUAGAUAAUUCUAACUAUAACAAUUCUUUCCUAGUAUCUUGCAUGCAAAGUGAUAAGUUUUGUAUUUCUAAAUCCUUGGUCCGGCAUCUAGAAAAUCUCACUCCGCACCUUGGUCCGGCUACAUGUGUUGCGUUCCUAACCCUUAUCUUUACCUCAUAUUAAGCAUCGUAUUCGAUAUUUUACUAAGUUAUUACCUCGUACCAAUCACUACUAGCCUAUUAGAUAGUAUACACUAAAUCUAUGUUGAUAAUUAUUUUCCCAUUAUCUACCUCCUUGGUCCGGCAAGUAGCAUUAAGACGAGUUCUACGUUGGCCAUCCGUUAAAAAGACUUCUAAGCGAAAAAAUUAUUAAUACAUGCAAGACACCAUUCUAGAAUUGUUAUUUUAGUUAGGUUUUGUCUCAUUAUUUUCCUAUGGUUCCCACAACCCUAGUUAUGGAGUUUAGUUACUCAUAGUCAUAAUCACAAUAUUCAAAUAUAUUAAAUAAGAAUUCAUGUACUAACUUCAAUGAUAAAGAGUAAAAUACGCGAGUUUUCUUGAAUAAUCACCAAAAAUCACCAACAAUCAAUGAUAAUUAAAAGUCAACAAUACAAUGUUUACUAAUACGGUGUCUAACAAUACAGAGUCUAACAAUGAUCCAGAGUCUAACAAUACGGAGUCUAACAGAUAAUACCAUAGUCUAACUAAUAAUACAAGAGCCUAACUAUAUGGAGUCUAACCUCAAAAAUGAGGUUAUUCAAACUAUUUAUAAAAAAUAAAAACCUAAUUAAACAAGGACUCUAUUUGCUGGAAAUCUGCCAAAAUACGGCUGGGUCGACGGACCUCGCGAGGAUCGUCAUGGACACGACGGGCCGUCAUGGACUCCGUCAUCCCAUACUUGUGCAAUUUCCUCUGCUGCUCUUCUUCAUUACCCUCGACGGCAGGUAUGACAGACCGUCAUAGGAACAACAGUCCGUCGAGGGUCUUCGUUCCAAAACACUUCAACUCUUGGAAUAUGGGUACUGGGAUUACUUCUCUGAACUUGACGACGAACCUGCAGGACGGACCGUCAUAGACACGACGGACCAUCACAAGUUUCGUAACCCCACACUUGGUCAGACAUCCCCAUCUUCCUUCAGCGGCUGCACUACGCUGCCACCUACGGACCGUCAUAAGCACGACGAACCGUCAUCCGUAGGUGGUCUCUUCUACAUUUCUUCGCUCAAAAUCUCCGUAUUCAGCUUUGGACAGAUUUCCUGCAAAAUAAAAAGAAACUUAUAUAAAAUUAGCACAAAAAGGCUUUUGGACACACUAAACUUAAGGAAAAAGUAUUAAUAAUUUCGUGAAACUACGGUAUAUCAACACCCUCAACUUAAAUUCGUUGUUUGUCCUCAAGUGACGCACUAUGACUCAAUACAAAAAUCUUUGUACAAUAGUAUUCAUGUUUUAUCCUUUGCAAUCAUUUGGCUAUCAAUCCCGAUUAAUCUCAUCAAAUCUAUGCAUGCUAUCACUAUUAGUCUUGAAUUAUGUGGGAUCAGAACAUGACAUAGACUCACCAUGCACUAACACCUAUCCUCUUCAAUUUGUCACUGAGGUACUAACAAUUCCGGUAUUGCAACUAGUGUCCUCACUUCAAAACAAAAUCCUCCUUUUUCACACAAUGAUUUCAGUUUGAGUAUAAGGAUUACUUUUCAACACUCGCUCACAAAACAAAGUCACACUCAUUCAUACCUAUUUUCAUAAGCUUGCCCUUAUUUUCACUGCCUUAAGUUCGCUAUAUAACCCUUAGGAUCACGAUAGGACUUUUUUAGCUAGUAACAUAGGCUCAGGGUCAAGUAGGGUAUAUUUAGGUAUACAUUAGUGACUUUUUUCCCUCCUUGACAUAUCGGCUAAACCUUCCACUUUUUAUCAUUUUAUCUCGCCUAGAUUCUUCUUGUAUAUUUUUCUUUUUAUUUACUUUUCUUUCAACUAAUUCUUGAGUCACUUUACUUUUGUUCUUUCUCUCUCUUUGUUCUUUCAACCCCAUUUUCCAGAGCAUUCCUUAUAAUAUCCACCCUCAACUCAUGGCUUUGCCAUGAGUCAAGGUCCACAAUACCCAAAGUUGGUUCAGGGCCAUAACGAAGGUUCUUUACUACAUUAGCACCCUCAACUUAUGCUUUUGGCAUAAGCUGAGGUGCACAUGUCCAAGGAGGGACCAGGGCCAACACAUUGUUCCCAGAAAAGAUCAGUUGGGGUGAAAAAGAAAUGUCUAAUUUAAGAUCAGAUCAUUUGGAUCAAAGAAGGAUAAAUUUCAUUUGGUUUCUUUUAUUUAGGCUAAAAAUGGGCUAUAUUGAAUAAGGGCCUAUGAUCCUUUCCUAAUUGUCUAUUACAGCUUGCUUUUAGCAGGACUAACCAGGCAAGUUCUAGCUCAGUACCAAUUGUGGACUAUUCGAAUUUUCCUCACACUCACUUGACAUUUCAUUACUAUACCAGAUUAUCAGACACCUAGUUCAAAUUUUAGACUUAGGGUAAUGCAAUGGUGUACCCCUAUGUCAUGCUUAGGGCCACACAAUUUUCAAUUACUAUGACUAGUCAUGCAUCAUUUUCCAGUUUAUCAGGAUAUCAUUUUAGCCAUUAUGCUUCAGAAUUAAACUAUAUACAAAAGAUAUAAACAUGUCGGUUCAACAGAAAAAGUAAUUAGUCUUUGGGGGAAAAGAACACAAGCAAGAAAACCCUAAAAUAGGAUAGUGAAUUGGGCUACUCAGACUUCACCCUAACACUCACUUUUCAUUUACCCCACCACCAAUAAAAAGCAUGCAAUUUUCCCCAAUGCAUAAAAAAAUUAUCUAGAUAUUAGAGUGGAAGGUGAAGCAAACAUGUGGCGCAAAGCGCCGUCGAUCAGCAAGCUGGUGGGUCCGGUUCCUCGGAACCCAGUAGUGCCCUCAGCAAAAACUGCACAUCAGUAGUGCCUCCUGCUAUAUCUGCAGUGCGGGAGCUAGACGCCCCAGCCGCUAACUGUGAUGCUCUGAUCUGGUGUGCCUCCUCCUCAGCAAGUGAGGCUCUCCUCGCAGCCUCCAUCUCUUGGCACUCCUUCUUUCGUGCUCGCGCCUCAUCCUCUUCUCGACCCCUACGCCUCUUGGAAUUAUCUCAAGGGGGAGGUGGUGGAAUCUCUGAUGUGGAAAAUAGGGCCGCCAACACUGUGUCUUCAGCAGGCUCGACAGAAGGGGCCUCAGACUCUGGAACCCUAGCCUCUAAGAUCGUGUCUAUAUCUACACGAAGACUGCCAACUGCAGCCUGAAGAGUCGACACAUCCACCAGAGGGGCAGGUCGGGCUAACACCCUCAACUCAAAGGCGUCCAAGCGCUGGUGAACCUCAGCAAUCUUCCGCUCUGUAUACUUGACCAUUUUCCGCUCUAGGCGCUCUUCUGACUCAGUAAUUGACUUCUGCAUCUACGGCUGGAUAUGAUGCAUAAUUGUAGCCAUUUGUGCCUCUAAUUUUUGGACUCUAGCAAGCGGGACAAGUGCCGGUAGGGGGACUGUGGGAGAGGAGCUCGGGGCAGUGCUACUACCCGGGAUAGACUCGACCGCGGUAGUGUCAGUGGACGCCACCUGUGUAGCCAUGCGGUCCUGGGCUACCGUAUCAGCAAGAUCAUCAGCAAUGGGGGUAGCUCUGGACGGGGCUCUCUCCGUGGAGCCAACUCAUUGGCCUCAUCUCUGAUGAGGCCGACGUCAACAGUGCCCUGCGGGGUCUUGAGCUAAUCUACGUGCAAUAUAGGCACACCUGCGUACCUGCAAAGAGCAAAGAUCAUGCACGGGAAAGGGUAAGUAGUAGUGACCUUGAAAGCCCUCUCGUGCAUGACUGCUGGUAGAUGCCAAGUGAAGUCCACCUCGAACCCAGCUAUCAUCGCCUCCAUCAACAUUGCUUCAUCCCAUGUAACGAUAUUAUCAGCAAUUGUGGGGGAAAGGCAGUGACGGACAAUCAGCCAUACGAACUUCGUCGUGAAAGUGAGGUUAACCGUCUUAAUGGCCCCCUUUGGCUCAGUUACCCAGUCGGCACCCUCUCCAUCAACUGACAGGUGCAGGGCCAUCAACCUCUUGGUGGUCUCUCUCAUUGAUGGCUCGCGCAGGAACUGGCCUUCUUUAACUAUCUGCCAGCGGUAGUCAAACUCGGUAGUGAGAGGGGUCCGAGUAGCAUCAACACUCUCAUCGUAUAAAAACCAGCGGAUGACAGGCAGGGAAAUGUCAACCUGUACACCCCUGACUCAGACCUGCUCCAGUAGGGCCUGUUUAGCGGGGGCAUCCCGCCUAUCUAUCUGUGAUCGGAGAGUCGCUACGUAGGAUACGUAGAACUCUCAGACAAUUUCUUAACUGUAACGUCCCAACAGACGUGCUCUCCACUCCAAGCGAUGAAUGGUGAAGAGAUUGUGGAUCUCAAGCAUCGUCGGGACAGUCCCUGUAAGGAAACGCCGCUCCAAGGUGAGUGUUCGAGUCAUCACUCCUUUAUCAGUCAGGAAUCUGGCGCCGGAGUAGACUUGAAAUUUCCCAUGGACACACCACUGGUUGGGCUGGUCAGUGGCUGGGGUGGGGACCUGAGCUGGUGAACCUGAUGUGGAUUCUGAACUGUCUGCCUCAUCAGACGAGGCCGAAGCUGCAGUGGUGGUGGGUGCGGGAACCUCAGCAGAGUCGGAGGCUUCCUCUGACCAAGAUACUCCUAAGGAGCCAAACGCUCCUUCUUCAUUUGUAGCUGACUCAGAGGGUGUGCCGGUCAGUGUGCGCUCCUCAUCAGACUGGGAGGCAGUGACUACGCCGGACGGAACUGUUUUGGGUGUGGCUCUGGGAGCACUUGCAGCACAGGAAGGGGUGGAAGUGCCUGGGGGCACGUACUCGGGGUCAUGCUCAUCAUCAAAGCCAAUGACCAUGCGGGCCGACGGGGCAACAGACUUCAAUCGCCCGCGUGCAUAGAUGCGAUCUUGCUUGGGUGCCAUAGUAGAUACUACCUAUAAAAGAUCAAUAUUAGAAUGAGAAGUGGCAAAUAAGACAAGCGAAACCACAAAAACAAUUAAAAUAGUAUGUCAUUACUAUGGUAACAGUGACACAUGACGGGCCUGGUGACGGCUCGUCGUGACUAUGACGGACCAUCAUGGGGUCCGUCCUGUUUUACUUAAACUACGUAUAUAUGGAGAACCCUGAAGGAGAGUCUCUGACUAGUCCGUCGUAGGUGUUCAUCAUAGGACACUUAAAAAAAUAUGGAGACCCUUAGGAGAGGGGUAUCUGACCAUCAUGAUGGUCAUGCAGGACGGACCGUCGUGGGUAUGACGGUUCGUCACAUGUGUCCGUUGAAGGACACUUAGAAAAAGAGAGAGACCUCAAAAACAGGGUCUAUAACAACUAGAAGGUUGUGUAGGGCGGACUGUCUUGAAGACGAUGGUUCGUCACAUGUGUCCGUUGAAGAACACUUAGAAAAAGUGAGAGACCCUCUGAACAGGGUCUCUGACAAACAGAAUGGUUGUGCAAGACGGACCAUCGUGAAGACGACGGUCCAUCACAUGAGUCCGUUGGGGGAUACUUGAAAAAACAUGGUCAGUGGGGUGUUAGGGCUUUUGGAACGGACCCUACGACGGUCCGUCGUGGAACAACGGUCCGUCAUCGGGGUCUUGUUCUGUAGAUCAGUGACAGAACUGGUGUACCCCAUUCAUCCCCGAUGAACCUGAAAAUCAAACUUGUAGUGUUUUGGACCUACAUUUGUCUAACCCAACUACCUAGGAAACUAGUAAUGCGAAAGCACCUAUGUCUAGGGUUGUAAACAUGGAAAUUUCGAAUAUUUUUAACCUAGGUUAGACAGAAUCUUAUAAAAGAGAUGAACAUAUGACGAAGAACUAAGUGAAUACUAAUUAAUAAACAAAAAUACAAGAUAAAUGAGUAGAAAUUAGACACAUACCUUAGAAUUGGAUAAAAACAAGAUGGGUAAGUACUUGGUGACCAAGAAGACACCCACAACAGCAACUCCGACUAGUAGACAAUAACUUCUUGGGCUUUGGAGAAUUUUGGGGGAACAAUGAUAGAGGGAGAGAAUGUGGAAGUUGAAAAGAGAGGGAAAUGGGAGGUAAAAUGAAGGAAUGGGGUGAAAUGAGGGGUUGGGGGGUUUAAACGAUCUGAAUUUGAGAAAGACUCCAGCCGGGUCGGGUCGGGUACGACUCAUUAAUGAGGCAACAAUCCCCGAUGAUGGUCCAUCUCAGUUGUGAAGAUCCGUCGUUGGGUCCAUCGUGUGUGACCUAGUUUGAAACUAAUAGAAAAACGUACUUGGUACGAUGGAGGCAUAUGACGGUCCGUCCCAGGCGCAACGUUCCGUCGAUGUAUCCGUCAGUAACUGCUGCAGAGUAAUUUUCUGCAGAAUUUCCUGGUGAUGUGCCUGUAAAUUUAAAAAUCCAUUAGUAGAAAAAUGCUACCAUUACUAAAAAGACUAUAAGUAUUGGGUUGCCUCCCAACAAGCGCCUGAUAUAAUGUUGCGGCACAACUGAGGACACUUGAUUACUCAGCCUUCAUCAAGAUGGUUUGCCUCUAUUACUUUAUUCCCCGAUGCUUUAUGCCCAAAAUAGAGUUUUAUUCAUUCUCUAUUAACCUCAAAUCGUACUUCCUCCUUGGCUUUUAACUCAAUUGCUCCACGAGGGAAUACUUGGGUAAUCAAGUAAGGGCCAGUCCAUUUGGACUUGAGCUUGCCCAGAAGACAAGGCGACCCAGAACUGUCUACAAGCACCAAUCCCCUAUCUUAAACUCUUGUUUUGCAAUUUUUUGUUCAUUCUCCUUCUUCAUCUUUUCUAUGUGGGAUAUGGCAGAUACCGAUUGGAGCUCACCACUCUGCCUCAUGGUCCUACAAAUGUUGAAGGUCGCUUCUUCAUUAUUCAACGAAAUGUCAUUUGUCCCUUCUCCAUAUCAACUAAGGCUCUACCUGUAGCAAGGAAUGGCCUCUCAAGAAUAAUAGGUACUUCAAAAUCGACCUCACAAUCAAGAAUAACAAAAUCAGCUGGAAAGAUGAAUGACUUCACUUUUACUAGCACAUCAUGAAGUAUCCCUAUAGGCCGUUUCGCUGUCCGAUCAGCCAUCAAUAGCCACAUCACAGUGGGUUUUGGAUCCCUCAAACCCAACUUCUUGUAAAUCGAGAGGGGCAUGAGAUUUAUGCUUGCCCCCAGAUCACAUAAUGCUUUCACAAAAUGUAAUGACCCAACUGUACAAGGAAUAGUGAACGCACCAGGAUCUUCUUUCUUUUGUACGAUGGAUCUUGUAGCAAUAGCACUAAAUGCUGCAGUCUAUCAUCAUCCUCGUAAGUGACCGAUCUUUUGUUUGUAACUAGAUCUUUCAUAAAUUUGGCAUAACCAUGCAUUUGUUCUAGAGCUUCUACCAAAGGGACAUUAAUAGAAAGUUUCUUCAACAUUGUUAUGAAACGCCGAUAUUUACCAUCCUCGGUCUUUUUCACUAAUCUCUGAGGGAAGGGUGGUGGUGGCCUAGGCAUGGGAAUUACCUUGAUAGGUACUUUUUCAUCUUUUCCAUUACUUUCUUCUGCUUCACCACUACCCAUUACCACAUUAUCAUUAUCCUUUCUCAGAUUUUCCUCAGUAGACGGCAUAGGUGGGUCAAUGGUUUGAUUACCACCCCGAGUAGUGAUUUCCAUACAGUGGGCAUCAUUCUUUAGAUUUUGGAUAGUUUUCUAGGAAGAGUGCCCGGUUGCCAUGUGUUCACUAUCGCAGAUAAUUGGGCCAUUUGCAAUUCGAUCGGUUUAAUCAAAAUUGUUUGUGUAUCAACUUUUUUCCCAAAACUAGCUAAAUCACCCCUUAUCUCUUUAAUGUGCUCAUCACUAGCAUCGAACCUCCUCAUCAUUUUGUGCAACAUAUCCUCAACUCACGCCAUACUAUCUCAACCAUCCCUAGGAGUAACUUCACGAUUUUGAGAAGGGACAUAGGGCCUAUUCCUGUCAUUUCUAUUAGCAUAGUUACCCCUUUUAAAGUUGUUGUCGCAGUUGUAGUUCCAUCUCGGACAUAAUGACACUCACAAUUGUAGUUACCAUAGUUCUGACCUUUGUUCCCUUGACCUUGGCCCCAAUUAUCCUUAUUUGAGCCUUGGGCGCUUGGUCGGAAACCCCUCAUCUGCUCAUUUACUGCAUAAGUGUCCUCCGCAUAAUAGCAUUCAUCGUUAGGAGGUGGUGGUUUUGCAAAGUAGUUGAAUGCAUUUAUUUUUUUUGCACCCCCAAUGACAUGUUUUAGUACCGACCCAAGCUCAGUUCUCAUCUGUGCCAUUUCUUCACGAAUCUCAUCUGUGGCUGGGUUGUGAGUGGACUGCACUGUGAAGGUGUUUCUCCCUAUAUCAGACUUCCUAGUACUCCAAGCUUUGUUAUUCUGGGAGAUUUUCUCUAAUUUUUCACCAAUCUCAGCAUAAGGACACUCCCCAUAACAUCUACCUGCUAUAGUGUCCAACACCACUUUAUUGUUAUCAUCCUGUCCCCGAUAGAAGUAUUCCUUCAGUGACUCAUCAUCUAUACAGUGAUUUGGAACACUUCUCAAAAAUAGGUGAAUCUAUCCCAAUAACUACUAACUGACUGACUCUCUGGUAGUGCCACAAAGUUGUUCACUCUGUCUUUGUGGUUUAGUUUCUUAGAGACCGGACAAUAGUGUGCUAAGAAAACAUACCUUAGUUGGUUCCAAGUGAAGAUUGAGUUUUAUGGGAGCUCAGUGAACUAUAUAGCAGCCUCUCCCGUCAGUGAAAGAGGAAACACUCUGAGCCCUAUUACAUCUAAAUCCAAGUCAGGCCUCCCUACACAACUUUUACACACUACCCUUACCUUAUCUAUAUGGGCAUGUGGAUCCUCAGAAGGUAGCGCUGAAAACAAACUCUAGCAGUCAGCAUUUGCAUCAGGCUACUAGUUACCACAAAUGUGUCGCCUGUGGGUAGAGGAGGCAAGACAAGUGGCCCAUCCGAGUCUGCUAUGUUAUCAUAGCCUUUGUAGUUUGCCUGGGGCCGUGGAACAGGAUUUUGUCCCCUCCGUUAAUGUUCACCCCCAAGCAUCGGGUAACAUCUGACCAUGAACAUCAACUGGAGCUGGGAUGUUCUGGUUUGGAUCAUCAUCAUUUAUUCCCAAGUUUUGAUUCAUAUUGCACAGUGUACGCUCUAACUCGUGAUCGUAGGGAAACAAGGGUUCUCUUCCUCUCCGUGUAUUUGGAAUACAAAGAGGAUAGUUUUGAAAAAAAAUCAAAAACAAUAAAACAAAGUAAAAUCAAGAAAAUAUCAACGAAACUAUAUUAAUAAGUUCAAGUUAAUCUAAAAGCUAUAAUCCCCGGCUGCGGUGCCAAAAUUUGAUACGCUCAAACUUACUUCUCAAAUAAGAAGUAAAGCGGUCGUGUCAAGUAAAUUACCCAACUAGUGAGGUUGGAUAGUUCCCACGAGGAAAAUAGUCUAGACUUAACUUCAACCUGUUAUUACUAUUGUUUGGUCAAUGACUUCCUUGGAAAGUAAAAACAAUAAAAGUGGGGUUUCUAAUUCUAAAUGAAUGAAAAUAACUAACACAAUUGAAAGAGACACUUAACGGCUUUGAAUGUUGGAUUUUAAUCAAUUAAUCAAAGUAACUAGGGUUUAUGUGUUCCCCACAGGUUCAUAACUUGAUAAUUCUAACUAUAACAAUUCUUUCCAAGUAUCUUGCAUGCAAAGUGAUAAUUUAUGUAUUUCUAAAUCCUUGGUCCGGCAUCUAGAAAAUCUCACUCCGCACCUUGGUCCGUCUACAUGUGUUUCUUUCCUAACCCUUAUCUUUACCUCAUAUUAAGCAUCGUAUUCAAUAUUUGACUAAGUUAUUACCUCGUACCAAUAAAUACUAGCCUAUUAGAUAGUAUACACUAAAUCUUUGUUGAUAAUUCUUUUCCUAUUAUCUACCUCCUUGGACCGGCAAGUAGCAUUAAGGCGAGUUCUACGUUGGCCAUACGUUAAAAAGACUUCUAAGCGAAAGAAUUAUUAAUACAUGCAAGACACCAUUCUAGAAUCGUUAUUUUAGUUAAGUUUUAUGUCAUUAUUUGUCUAUGGCUCCCACAACCCUAGUUAUGGAGUUUAGUUACUCAUAGUCAUAAUCACAAUAUUUAAAUAUAUUAAAUAAGAAUUCAUGUACUUACUUCAAUGAUAAAAAGUAAAAUCCGCGAGUUUGCUUGAAUAAUCACCAAAAAUCACCAACAAUCAAUGAUAAUCAAAAGUCAAACAAUACAAUGUUUACUAAUACGGUGUCUAACAAUACAGAGUCUAACAAUGAUCCAGAGUCUAACAAUACGGAGUCUAACAGAUAAUACCAUAGUCUAACUAAUAAUACAAGAGCCUAACUAUAUGAAGUCUAACCUCAAAAAUGAGGUUAUUCGAACUAUUUAUAAAAAAUAAAAACCUAAUUAAACAAGGACUCUAUAUGGUGGAAAUCUGCCAAAACGCGGCCGGGUCGACGGACCUCGCGACGGAUCGUCAUGGACACGACGGACCAUCAUGGACUUCGUCAUCCCAUACUUGUGUAAUUUCCUCUGCUGCUCUUCUUCAUUACCCUCGACGGCAAGUAUGACGGACCGUCAUAGGAACAACAGUACGUUGAGGGUUUUCGUUUCAAAACAAUUCAACUCUUGGAAUAUGGGUACUGGGAUUACUUCUCUGAACUUCAUGACGAACCUGCAGGACGGACCGUCAUAGACACGACGGACCAUCACAAGCUACGUAACUCCACACUUGGUCAGACUUCCCUAUCCUCCUUCAGCAGCUGCACUACGCUGCCAUCUACGAACCGUAAUAAGCACGACGGACCAUCAUAAGCUCCGUAGGUGGUCUCUUCUGCAUUUCUUUGCUCAAAAUCUCUGCAUUCAGCUUUGGAUAGAUUUUCUGCAAAAUAAAAAGAAACUUAUAUAAAAAUUAGCACAAAAAGGCUUUUGGACACACUAAACUUAAGGAAAAAGUAUUAAUCAUACCGUGAAACCAUGGUAUAUAGUCAUUAAUAAAGAGGAUUACAAAUGAUUCAAGAUAAUCCCAAAAUACCUUAUUCAUAGGGUCCAUAAACGUUAUUAGGGCAUUAGUUAGACCAAAGGACAUUACUAAGUACUCAUAUUGAACAAACCUUAGUUUGAAAAUCGUUUUAGGAAUGUCAACACCUCUAACUCUAAGUUGGUGAUACCACGACCUCCAACCGAUAUUUGAAAAAGAUAAAUCUCCCUUUGGAGUUGGUCAAACAAAUCAUUAAUUUUAGGGAAAGGAUACUUAUUCCUUAUAAAGACCUUGUAUAAAUAGUGGUAAUAAAUACACAUCCUAAGAUACCUAUCUUUUUUUUUGACAAACAAUACCAGAGCUCCCUAUGAAGAUAUUCUUGGUUGGAUAAAACCCUUGUCUAGCAAAUCCUUGAGUUGAGCUUUCAAUUCUUUCAACACGUCCGGAGUCAUCUGAUAAGGAGGAAGUGAUAUGGGUUGAGUAUUCUCCAAAAAAUAUAUGCCGAAAUAUAUUUCCCAUUCAGAAAGAAUUUUGGGCAAGUCAUUGGGAAGACUUUCGAAAAAUCCUUCACUGCGGGGACCGACUACAAAGGAGGAGCCUCAGACCCUAGGUCCUUGACCCUCACAAUAUGAUGAAUACAUCUCGUAUAAAUCAUUUUAUAAUAUUUUAGGCAUUAAAUAAUUUGACCUCUAGGGAUUGAGUUUCCCACCUUCCAUUCUAACAUGGGUUAAUUAGAAAAUUGGAAUUUAACUACCCUCGUUCUAUAGUCAAUUGAAACAAAACAAGUAGUAACCAAUCCAUCCCCAAUAUGACAUCAAAGUCCAACAUAUCGAGUUAUACUAAAUCAAUUAAUGAUACUCUAUUGGUCAAUAUUAUGGAACAACUCCUAUAGACUCUUUUAGCUACCACGGAGUCACCCACUUAGGUACAAAUCGAAAAAAAUUCUGCUAAAACAUCGAGUAAACUAAAUUUCAUAGCACAAAAAGAGAUACAAAAGACAAUGUUUCACCGAGAUCUAGUAAUGCUUAAACAUUAAUUGAAAAUACUUAUAAGAUAACGGUAACAACUUCGAGAGAUCCCUCUUGAUCACCUCUAGAUUUGAGAGCAUAGAAACGGUUCUUCUUAAGAGCAUCAAAAUUAAGACCACUUGAUUAUGCUCGAUUACUCUCCCUUCCUUGAGUCUUGAACAAGGGAUAAUCUUUCACCAUGUGACUACUCUUUCCACGAUAAAAAUAAUUAUUAGUACCCACUAGACAUAUACCCAUAUGCCUAUUGAAACAUUUGGCACAAUUGGGUUGCUCACUUUGUCAACCCCCACUUUUUCCCUCUUCAGUCUGAGGUUAGGUACUCUAUCAUUAUUAUCACUUAAUAAAUUAGAACAAACUUGGUUGGAGUCUCUUUUCAUAAACUUUGGCUUGUAUUGGAUUUAAAACUACCCUUAGAAGUACCUCCAUCAUAUAGUCUUGACCUUUUGGAAUCCCUAUUUAUCUUCCUAUUCCUACUCUUCUCAAAUUGUUGAGCAUGCACCAUCAAACAAGAAAUUUCCAUGUCAUUGUGAAGCAUUUACACACGACACUCUUCUACAAGAUCAUCGGACACACCCAUCACAAAACGACUCAUUUCAUGUCAAGAAUUAGUCACCAAAGACGAAGCAUAUUUGGACAAGAUGAUAAAUUUCAAAGAGUAUUCUUGACACUCAUACCUCCUUGACGAAGGUUGUGAACUCUUUCAAUUUUUCCUCUAUUUUCUCCCUUAGGAAGAACCUAUCAAGAAUUUCCCUCCUAAAGAAUUCCUAACUUAUGGGACCCAAACUCAAAGCCCUAUUGUCCUUUCAUUGAGUGUACCAAGUUUGAGCGACAUAUUUUGGUUAAUAAGAAGCUAGCUCGGCCUUCUCAUUUGAACUCACCCCGAUAGCAUACAAGACCUUAUAAACCUCAUGUAUAAAGUCUUGAAGAUAUUCAUUUACCUUAGACAGAAAGAACAUUGAAGGAUUCAUUCUAGUGAAGUCCGUCAAAUGUGAAGCCAUGGUACUAGCUUGUGUCGUCAUAGCUUGAGAUUGAGUAGUUACGGCUAGAUCUUGAGUAGCCAUUACUUGAGACAAGUUUAGAAAAAUUGUCUAUAUCUCUCCAUCUGUCAUGACCAGAGGAUUGACCAGAGCUUGGUCAGCUAAAGGAACUUGCUCGUGAUGGGGAUCUUGGUUGCCUUGGAGAGGGACUUCCGCAUUCGCAAUCUCCUCUUCAACCCUUCUUGCGGCUGCGCUUCUAGGAGUCAUAUACUAUAUUCACAAGAAAAUGAUUAAAAUUAAAGGACACAUAGAGUUAGACUCUACAGACACCACUUAAGGAUACCAAAAAAGUGAGAAUUUCUUAAGCAUCACAUAGUCUCUCAAUCACAAGUGAAUCGCACUUCAUAAUUAUGAACAAGACACUACAUAGACGUGGUUUUGUGAGACAUCAUUCCUAGUAUUAUUCAACCUCAUGCUUUGAUACCAAUUUUGUUACAACCGAGAGCUUCCCUAGUCGUAACCAGUGUCAUCGACCUCGAAAAGGUCUUAUACAAGCCCUUAGCAUUCAUCAUUGCAUAAUAGAUAGAAUAAAAGCAGAAAAUUUAAAACUUUUAGUUUGAAGUUCAAUUUCACUUCAUAUAUCAAAAUAAAAACUAACUUAUCUCACAUUGUCAUCUAGACAUAAGAGUACGAAAAUUAGGACUUAGACCUUACAUUAACAACAAGUCUUAUAAUACGAAUACAAUAUAGUCUUUGAAUAAGGAAAGUGUAACUAGAAUUAGAAUCAAGAAUCUUCAUCUCGGACUUGAGGACUCACCAACUUGGGAAUAGAAAUCGAAGUUUCUUCAUUAAAGGACUAUAAUCACCUCAAUGACCCGAACCUACACUCGUGUAGAAAAUAGAAGAAAUAUGUGUUAGAACAAACCACAAGUACUAAGAAUGGAAACCUAAGUAAAUAAAACAUUUAAAACAUGCACAAAAGGACAUUUGGUUAUAAGCAUGUCAUAUUCCAUUUAAAGGCCUUCAUGCAUAUUUCAAGAAUAUAUACAAGUCCAUACCAUAAGUCAAAUCAUGAUAAAUCCAUAGUCAAAAUUUCAUAUUUAGAGUCCAUUUCAUCAAUACAUCACAAGACCUUAUUCAUAACCCCUAAAUCAAGUCAACUAGUGCAUUCUGUAUAUGAAGCCCCAUAACCCCACACACCAAGCAAUGAUCAAGAAGAUCACAAGCACUAUCAUUACCUCCUACGUCAUCAUACCAAGUAUAGCCAACAACAUGCAUAUCAAGUGAAACCAACAUCAUGUAUAUCAAGUGAAACUAACUUCAAGCAUAUCAUAUGGUACCAACAUCAUGCAUUUCAUUCAUAAGAUAUAUACAUAAAUAACACACCCUACAACUCAUCUCAAGACUGACUUAUGCAAUGCAUAGGUUAAGUCUCAUACCCUAACCUAUACUAAGUAACAUCUCUCGAAUAGUCCUAAUUAGUGGUCAUCUUAUUACUUUCAUUCAUUUUGGAAUUCGGGAAACUUCGACAAAAAUGACAUAGACCAUGUAAGCUACAUGGACUACGAUGUCAACCCCUCACACCCAAAGGAGGGUGUCCCACUUGCAAAGGUAAGACAUAAACGUUCGUAAUAGCAUCAAGGUGGAUCCACGUGCUAAGGUUCAUAUGGGACACAUAGUUAAAGAACUAGGAGGUUGUUGCUAGAAACCCUCUUUAUGAUAAUUAGUAUUUUAGUAUCCACGUCAUGAGAUCAUCAAGUGAGCCUUUAUUCCUUUGUGAAGGAAUGCCUCUCAUUGUCAAGUUCACUCAGUGCUAAGCUAAAUUCCCUUUUUGAAGUGUCUUUAAGUCUUUCUUAAAAAUCAAUUCAUAAUGUAGGUCUUAGGAGUUUAAUACCUCAUAUAACAUAUACAUAUCCCAUAGGUUCAAGGAUGAGAAAGUUCUUUCAUCACAAACCCAAUAUUAUGUGAGAACAUUACUUCAUAAACAUAGUCAUAGAAUGUAGUAAUUUCCUUCAAUUCCCCUUAACAGAAAACCUACCAUCAUCUCACAAUCAUCACAUUCAUAUUAAUGAAAAUACAUUCAUACAUUCAUCCUUUGUACUUCAAGUAAUCAACAUUACUAAAUAUAAACCAACAAUACUACAAUAGAAUGUCAUAGCCUUAAAGGUAUAAGAUACCCUUUCAAGAUUCCAUCUCAAAUCCAUAACGUUCAUCCAUAAAAUAUGUUAUCAUCAUCAUACUAUAGUCAAUUAUACAAGAACAUACUAAAUAACAUCACCGAUAAUCAUUAUUCAUGAUAAUUCAAGGGUUAGGGUCAAGAGAAGAGGGACAUUCCUAGGUCUUUAGAGAAUUAGAUCAAAAACCUAUACAAUACAUCAAUUCACUCAUGAACAUUCUUAUUCAAUCGUUAUUAAUGUACCUUAACUUAAUAAUUGUAUUUGUAAUUACCCAACUAUCCCUACCCUAUCCAUGUGGAGAUAGUGAUUCCAUGAACCAUCCCCGAAUCCCCACCCACGGGGCAUGGAUUGAUCCACAACUAUGUUGGUCACGCGUGGAUUGAGACUACGGGGUGCAUCCUAGGGUCUUGGUGAGGAGAGUAAGUCUCAACUCAUGAGACACUUCCACGGAGCAUGAGUCGGUUAACGGACCAUACUGCACAUUCCUGGUUUUGAUUCCCGACUCCUAUUAGUCACUUGACAGCUCGUGGCUGGAGCCUCAUGGAGAAUGUUGUUUUAUACAACUUUUAGAACUAAGGGUUUGGUCCUCCUUAAGGACCCUUGGGGUGGACCUUGGGUCGUACCCGGAUGUUUGGGCCCUAAACAGAUUAUUUAACAUAUUUAAAAACAAUUCCAAGGUUUAGUCCUCAUAUGACUCUUCAAAACCCAUACAAGACCUAAGGACACAGUAGAUCACUAUCACUAGUUUCCGUACGUCAUGGUCAUUUUCUUGAUGCUUAUGCACUAACACUUCCAAAAGAAGUUAGUUAUGGUAGAAUAGGUCUUGAAACAUUAUUUUAACCUUUUUAUGUCAUUAAACUUCUGUUAAAGUCCUAGCUUAGGUCAUUCGAUUUAUGAGGUGUAACACUUUUACUCUUCAAGUUCUUCUCUCAAAAACCCUCUAAAACAUAGAGCAAAGAACUUAGAUAAAAAUUGGAAAAAUAAGAUAAUUGUGUGUUCUAAUAAUAAUAGUUCUAUAUGUAAGCUAAAACACUACAUAAGUAUUUAUAUUUUUUAAAGAUUAGUGUUGCAGCGGCAUGCUCGACGACAUUAGUCAAAAUUGCUGAACAAAUCGGUGAUUUUCCUUUUGAUUACUUCAUUGUCGUCUAGCGCAUAGUACAAGAAUCUUUGUGUUAUAUAUCACUAGGCAACAAAAUAGUGCUUCACAGACUUCUCGGUUAUAAACCGACUGCUCCUUUAUACAUCCGAUUUGAACCUUUUCUUCAAGGCUCAACACACUGAAACAAAAGGUGAUCUUCAGACCUAUCGGCGAUCCUCUUGCCUUCAUUUCUCCAUUCUUUUUUUUUCUUUUUGCCAAGUAGAGUCCAAGCUAUGCCUUAAACUCAAAGUACGUGAAACUCAAGUUUAUCGAUUAGUAACUGGGAUAAAACAAGCAAUUAAGUACAUUAUUUCUAUCAAAAUAUAACCCUAAAUGAGUCUAAUCUCAGGACUUAUCAACACCCUCAACUCAAACUUUUGUUUGUCCUCAAGUAUAACUCAAUUUCAACAGUUCAAAAAGGAUGUCUUAAACAGUGCUACACAAGAUGCAAUCAUAAAUGUACACAACAUGACUCAGUUUACUUAUGGAAAAAUCAAUUGUGUACCCAAAGAUUUAAGUUGUGACACACCAUUACCAACGAUUCUCAAGCUCGCAAUACUUUCUUCAUAUGCAAGUUCAUGCUCAACGAAAUCAUUUGUAUGCCCUAACAUACAUAAUGAUUCUAUUCUCACACACAUGAUGUUAAUCAUUUAAGGUUAGGGGAUCGAAUACAACUUACACUCUCAAAAAGAGGAACACAAUGCAUGAUUUCACCCAUUAGUUUGCUCUUAUUUUUUAUCAACAUUUCUUUUAGCUUUCUCAAGAUCACAGAGGUCGUUUUAUGGCUUGUAAUAGGGCUGUGUGCAAAGAUAUGGUCAUUUGGGCUCAGUGACUAUGAUCCACAUGAGAUGUGGUGCCCAAAACACUUCCUUUAUUUUCCUCUCAUUAAAUUCAUUAGUCCUUACAAGUCAUCCCUUUUAUUCACUUUCCUAUAAUAUGUUGGGAACCCUCUUUUUCUUUUUGUAACUUUUGAGUUUAUUUCACAACUUUUCCUUUUUCUUUUUUUCUUCUUUUCUCGCUUUUCUCUUUUUCUUUAUAUGGAGGGAUUUCAUUUUAUCAACACAAUGGGUAGACGGGAUCUCUCUUGCACUUCUUGACUUGAUUUCUCCUUUAAACACACCCCCAACUUAGGCUUUUAAUCUAAGUUGGCUAUGCUAUUAAGAACAAAUCUAGAGGAUUAUGUGUAAAGGGUUAAGAGAGGUCAUGUUGUUGUCAAGUUUCUUCCAAUUAAUGGUAAGGGUCAAUGGGUGUUCAAGAGAGAUUCACACAAUCACAAGGUAGGUCACAAAAGAGGUAUAUGUCAAAUAAGCUUACACUCUUAAAAUUGCCUAAUAUCAUAUCAAGAGAAAACUUUAACUAGAAAUAAAACCAAAUAAAUGUAAUAAAAUAUCUAGAUAAAAUUUUAAAUUUGAAGAGAGUUAAACUAAUAGUAGUAAAAAAAGAAGGUGAAGUUGUGGUACAAAGUAACCAUAAAAGUGAGAAGCUACAAUGAAGAUGACAACGAAUUUUUGAAGAACAAGGAAGAAAGAAAAAAAGUAAGGAGAAAAAGUUAAAAUAAUAAGAAGAACAAAACCAAAUGUUUUAUAGCAAAAUGCUCGUAAAAUAAAAUUACAUUCAUUUUUUAGUUUGUUCACGUUCUUUAAGAGAAUGCAUACACACUUUAUGUCAGGUUGACAAAAAAUGAUGUAAUGUAAUAUCAGUUUUGGAUUUUUUAGGGGGAAGGUAGGGUAAUAGGAUGCUUGCAUGGUUUAAGUGUUUUUUUGAAUAUUCAAGACAACUUCAAGUGUCACUUUAUGUUUUUCUCUACUAUUGUCUCCAGUAUCACAUGAUGGUAACAAUGCAGUUUAGAAUAUAUCUUAAUUGCAAUAGCUCAUCAUAUAUGCAUACGAUGCCAACAAUAACAUUUAUAAAAAAUAUGAUAAUUCCUUCUUACAAAUUUUUAUUAAAUCUUAAUAAUUGUGAUUGAACCUACAAAAUCCCUAUUACAUUUAUGUGUCAAACUGUUAACCCAAAUACAAUAUAAUUUAUAUAUUCUUAUUAUAAAGCUCUACAUCUUACUAAUAUAAGAAUUUAGAAUCAAAACAUGAGGACAAAUUAACAAAAGGGAAUGAAUGUGGUCACGAUUGUAAUAAGGUGUAAAUCAAUUUAUCCGAAUAGUAAUUUCAUAUGUACUAAUAGAUGUUCUUGGCGUACUCCUAUUAAAAUCUACAACAUAUAUAAAACUUUUCUAAUAAAGUUCACUUUUUCCCUCAUUUUACAUGAAACUUCAGAUGAUGUCCAAAAGAAAAUUAUAAUGCAAUUAAAGUUUCAAUUACAAUAAUAGCAAAACAAAUAGAUAUAGUAAUUGUAUUACACAAAUAUAAAAAAUUUGUCGAGAUGUAGUAUCGACAAAACACUCAAAGUAGUCAACGUUGUAUUACAAUUUACAUUAUUAAGGCUAAAAAAGAAUAUUUCUUCCCUAAAUAAAGAAUGGGAAUUAGUCAAACUAUUUUUGCAUAUUCUGUCUAAAUGAUGCAACUAACUUUAUCAUCUCGUAAAAUAAUUGAAUGUAUAGUUGUUAUUUACCUACGAGUAAUUUGGUUGUCAUAAGAAAUUUAGUUUUUCAACUUUCUUUAUCCAUUUGAGGAAAAUGAAUGAUAUUUUUACUAUUUUAUAGUAGCUUAAUCGGAGAAGUAUAAAUGUUAGACUUUUUAGAUGUCAUACAUUCAUUUACAAUAAAUGUGGUGUGCAUUGACUUUCAUCUCUUAGAAUUCUUCAUGCUUUGACAUAACGUGAAAAUAUUUUAAGUAAAGUACGGAUCAUUCUCAUUCAGAUAUCUUACUCAAUUCCAUCAUUAAAUAAUUUCAUGCACAUUGAAUAAUUUUAAAACUGAUUUCAUCUAUAUUUAAUUAGUUAUUAGAAUACAUAUUUGGUUUUGUAAAGGAAUUAAAUAGGAAGUGUUUUGAAGGUCAAAAAGGUAUUUCAACUUUUCAAUUUGAUGUUCCCACUUUUAGGGCAUGUUUGGAAGGAUACCCUAGUAUUGGAUUUGGUGUAAUUGAGUGUAAUUACAACAUAUGUCUUGUUUGGCUGGAUAGGUAAUUAAUAACUUGAUUAGCAGGUAAUUGGUGUAAUUGGCAGGGAGUAAUUACACUCUACAAUUCACAGGCAGAGGCUGUGAAUUGCUAGAAAUUAUAUGGUGUAAUAGCUUAUUACUUUUCAAUUUCUUUUUUUUUCCUAUUUUCCUUUUUUGGUUUUAAUUUUUACUUCAAUUAUUUUAUAUUCUUUUUUAAUUUUCAUUAUUCUAAAAAAUCAUUUUUUAUUUUUUUAUAUUAGUAUAUUUCAUUUUUUUGUUUUUCUCUGUCUUACUUUACAUGAUUCUAGGCAAUUUUUUCGUAUUAUCUAUUUUUUAAGAAAUGCUUAUUUUCUCACUAGCAUAAUUUAAUUAGCAUUCUAUUCUUUAAUCAAAAUAGAAUUUAUUGUUAAGUAAAGUUAUAAAUUUACUUUUUAAAGAAAAAUAAAAAUAAAUCAUAUUUAUGGGCGUUAUGUUGAAAUAUGCUCUAAGAGUAUCAUGUUAAAUUUUUUGUUUUGAUUUAUAUAUAACUUUUGUUAUAUUUUCAAUGUCAUUUGUUUUAGUAAUAUUGAAUUCACAUUGCACGUCAUUUUUCAAUUAAUCUUGAUAGAUUAUCUUUUUGUCAAACAUUUAAUAAUUUAUGACAUUUUAUUUAUAUAUUAUUCUUUUUUUCAAACAGCUAUUUCACGAUGUUCGUAGAAAGUUCAUACUUUUAAUUUUUACGAUCAACUCUAUUGAAAUUUAUAAAUUUCAAAAAAUAUAAACCAACUAUUCUUUUCAUAAUAGAGGUUAAAGAAUAUAUAUUUAUUAAUUAAUAUAUUUUUUAAAAAGAAUAUACAUAUACAUAUAUCUUAAAUUUUAUUUAAUGUCAUUCAUAAGGUUUCUUAUUUGUGUAGUAUAUAUUUUAAAUAAUCAAUUUUUAUUUCAAUAUAAUUUUAUGAUUAUUACUGUGUGCAUCCAAACAAAAACUGUCUAAUUACACUUUGACAUCCAAACAUGUCAUGUGUCAUUAAAGAGUUGUAGUCAGUUAAAACUUAUUAAAUAUAAAUUUAUAAAGUUGUUCGAAUUAUAUUAAAUUAAUGAAUAUAUUAGUCCAAAUAAAUAUUAUGAAUUAGUAUAAUUAAUUUAAUUAAUUAAAUUCAGAAAAAUAUGAAUUUAAUUAAACCACGUUCCAUAAAUCCCAUAUGAUUAUUCACUUAAAUCUGAUUGGACGAAGGGAAUCCUGUUCCAAUCGCAACUCCUCUAUUCUAAAACUAUAAAUAGGGGUCUCAUAAUUCAGAAAAGAAAACCAAGAGUUCUAAACAAGAAGCUAGAGAAAGCUCUUGGAUCAAAAGACAUAAAUUUCUCAACAAGUUCAAGAAUUCAAGUUCAAGAUUUGAAGAAGUCAAGAUCAAGUUCAAGAACGAUUAAGAUCAAGACGACCAAAUUCAAGAUCAAGCUCCAAGCCCUUGAGUUCACCUACAAUGUCCAGAUCAAGAUAAAGUUUAGGUCAAUAUCAAGAUCAAGUCCAAGUAUUAGUUCAAGUCUAAAAUCAAGUUUUAGAACGAUCAAAAUCAAGACCACUCAAUUCAAGAUCAAGGUGCAAGCCCUUUAAUUAAACUAGAAAGAAAAGAUCAAUAUAAAUUUCAAGUCAAGAUCAAGAUCAAGUCCAUGUAUAAGUUCAAUUCCAAGAUCAAGUUAAAGAACGAUCAAGAUCAAGACUACCGGAUUCAAGAUCCAAAUAAAGUUCAAGUCGAGAUCGAGAUCAAGUCCCAGUAUAAAGUCCAAGAUUAAAUUCAAGAUCAAGUUCAAGAACGAUCAAGAUCAAGACCACCGGAUGCAAGAUCAAGCUCCAAGCCCUUGAAUUCAACUAGAAAGUCAAAUAAAGAUAAAGUUCAAGUCAAUAUCAAGAUCAAGUCCAAGUCCAAGUUCAAGUCGAAUAUUAAGGUCAAGAACAAUCAAGAUCAACACCACCCGGUUCAAGAUCAAGCUUCAAGCCCUUGAAUUCUAUUAGAAAGUCAAGAUCAAGAUAAAGUUCAAGUACAAGAUCAACAUCAAGUCCAAAUUCAAGUUCAAGUCCAAGAUCAAGAGCAGGAUCAAUAUAAAUCCCAAGUUCAAGAUCAAGCUUGAAAUCCCUUGAAUUUGAAAAGGAUAAUUCAGAGAAAUCAUAGAGAUUGUAACACUCGCACUUGAAAUAAUAAAUAGAUUGUUGCUAGAAUUUUCCGUUCUUGAUUAUUGUUUUCUCCACGGAGUUUUAUUUUCUAAAAAUUCAAGAACGCCCAGUGGGACAAUCUCUACCUCUCAUCUCAACUUUUAAAGCAUCCAAUAAUAUCAAGAUGUCUUCCACCAUAGAAAAACAACUAGCAAGCUUAUACAAAGCAAUUGAAGGCUUGACAAAGUGCGCACACGAACAAGAUGCUAAACUUUCUAAGCUAACAAAUAAGAUGGAUAACAUGAUCGAAAAAAGAUCAAGUCAAUCACUUUUGAAGAUUUCCAAAUUCAAGACAAAGGAGAGUUUUGCGUAAAGAAAACAUAGAUCAAAAAGAUUCAUAUCUCAAUUGAAGGUUUGAUUCUGAUUAAUCAAUUAAAGAACAUUAUUGUAGAGUCCAUCGAAGACAAAUUUUAGUCUUCAUUCAAAUUUUCUCCAAUAUAUGCAAAGCCAUAUACACAAUGGAUUGAUAACUUUAUAAUUUCUGGGGUUAUCAACCUCCUAAGCUUCAACAAUUUUAUGGCCAAGGAAAUCCUAAACAACAUAUAGCGCACUUUAUUGAGACUUGCAAUGUUGUUGGGAAGUAUGGUGAUUAUAUUGUUGAAGAGUUCAUUCGAUCACUUAGACAAAAUUCCUUUGAUUGGUACACAGAUUUUGAACUUAAUUCUAUAGAUAGAUGGGAGCGAUUAGAGCAAGAGUUCCUUAAUCGUUUCUAAUGCAAGAGACGUGUCAUUAGUAUGAUGGAACUUACAAAGGCUCGUCAAUGUAAAGAUGAGCCAAUUGUUGACUUUAUCAAUCGCUGGAGAAGUCUAAGCAUCAACUGUAAAGAUCUCCUUAGUGAAAUUUCUAGUAUUGAAAUUUACAUCCAAGGUAUGAAUUGGGGUCUUCACCACAUUUUGCAAGGAUUAAAUCCCAAUACAUUUGAAGAGUUAGCAACUCCUGCACAUGACAUGGAUAUAAUUAUGACUUAAAGAUAAGAUCAGUAAUCUCCUAUCUAUGAACCUCAUGAAGAUAAAUAUAUAGAAGAACUCCAAAAUGGGGGCAAGUCUGCAUCUGAAGAUGAAUUUGAAGAGUCAAUGUAUAUAGACGCUCCUUAAUGCAUGACCUUAAACUGAAAAUUACAAUGCUCCUUGAAAUACGAGCUUAAACUGUAUGUCUUCAAGUUAAUAUGCUCGUUGAAACAUGAUCUUAAACUGUAUGUCGCUUAAAUUUUAACGUUUGACAUAAAUCUUCAAGUUGAAAUGCUCCUUGAAAUACGAGCUUAAAUUGCAUAUCACUUGAAUCUUCAAGUUGAAAUGCUCCUUGAAAUACGAGCUUAAAAUGUAUGGCACUUAAAUCUUACAGUUUGAGUUAAAUCUUCCAGUUGAAAUUUUCCUUAAAACAUGAUCUUAAACUGUGUGUCACUUAAAUCUUCAUGUUUGAGUUAAAUCUUCAAGUUGAAAGGCUCCUUGAAAUACUAGCUUAAACUAUAUGUUACUUAAAUCUUCAAGUUAGUGUAAAAUUUUCAAGUUGAAAUGCUCAUCAUAAUACGAUAUUAAAAUGUAUGUCACAUAAUACUUCAAGUUUGAGUUAAAUCUUCAAGUUGAAAUGAUCCUUGAAACACGAGCUUAAAGGAGUUAGUUGUUAGUUAAAUCAAGGUAAAGAUGAUUUAGUUGUUAGUUAAAUUUCUAGUAUUGAAAUGUGCAUCCAAGGUAUGAACUGGGGUCUUCACUACAUUUUGUAAGGAUUAAAUCUCAAUACAUUUGAAGAGUUACAAACUCGUGCACAUGACUUGAAUUAACCAUAACUUUAAGAGAAGAUCGUCAAUCUCCUGUCUAUGAACCACAUGAAGAUGAAUAUCUAGAAGAACUCCAAAAUGGGGGCAAGUCUGCAUCCAAAAAUGACUUUGAAGAGUCAAUGUAUAUCUAGACUCUCCUUAACGCAUGAGCUUAAACUACAAGUUACAAUGAUCCUUGAAAUACGAGUUUAAAUUAUAUGUCUUCAAGUUGAAAUGCUCCUUGAAACACAAGCUUAAACUGUAUAUCGCUUAAAUAUUAAAGUUUGACUUAAAUCUCUAAGUUUGAAUGCUCCUUGAAACACGAGCUUAAAUUGUAUAUCACUUGAAUCUUCAAGUUGAAAUGCUCCUUGAAAUACGAGCUUAAAAUGUAUGGCACUUAAAUCUUAAAGUUUGAGUUAAAUCUUCAAGUUGAAAUUCUCCUUGAAACAUGAGCUUAACUGUAUGUCACUUAAAUCUUUAAAUUUGAGUUAAAUCUUCAAGUUGAAAUACUCCUUGAAAUACGAGCUUAAACUGUAUGUUACUUAAAUCUUCAAGUUAGAGUAAAAUUUUAAAGUUGAAAUGCUCAUCAUAAUACGAGAUUAAAAUGUAUGUGACAUAAAUCUUCAAGUUUGAGUUAAAUCUUCAAGUUGAAAUGCUCCUUGAAACACGAGCUUUAAAUGUAUAUCCCUUAAAUCUUCAAGUUUUAGUUGAAUCAUCGAGUUAAAAUGCUCCUUGAGACAUGAGUAUAAACGGUAUAUCAUAAAGCUCUUUAAAUUUGACCUAAAUUUUCAAGUUAAAAUGCUCCUUAAGAUACGAGCCCAAGUGCAUGUCACUCAUGGCCUGCAAGAGUAUAAACGGGAUACAACAAAACCAAAAAACAGUCACUCCUCUAGAACUACGUUAUGACUUGAUCCUCUUCAUUGAGGUACGUAGGCACUUAGAACCAUAUUCUAAGUUAAGUUGCAUGAGUGUCAAAAUAACCAAAUGAUUACACUUGAUUUGUUGUAUGAGUUAAAGCUAUGAGUAACUAUUCAUAAAACUUCAGACUUGCACCAAAUGGUGGUGGCUCGAUGGGGGCAAACCCUUAUGAAUAAAUUGAUUCAAGAUGAAGUAUUCAAAAUCUCUAAGUAUCCAAGUUCAAGCAUUAAAAUUCUUCAAGAUUAGUCUUUGAGAGACAAAAUAUCUCAACAAGACUUAAAGAAGGGGGCAUUUGUAGUCACUUAAAAUUUGUUCAAUAUAAAUUUAUAAAGUUGUUCGGAUUAUAUUAAAUUAAUAAAUAUAUUAGUCCAAAUAAACAUUAUGGAUUAAUAGGAUUGAUUUAAUUAUUUAAAUUCAGAUAAAUAUGAAUUUAAUUAAAGCCCUCUCCAUAAAGCCCACAUGAUAUUUCACAUAAAUCUGAAUGGCCGAAGAGAGUCCUAUUCCGAUUGCAACUCCUCUAUUCUAAAACUAUAAAUAGGGUCUCAUAAUUAAGAAAAGAGAGCCAAGAAUUCUAAAAAAGAAGAUAGACAAAGCUCGUGGAUCAAAAUCCAUAAAUUUCUCUACAAGUUCAAGGAUUCAAGUGUUCAAGUUCAAGAUUUGAAGAAGUCACGAUCAAGAUCAAGACCACCGAAUUCAAGAUUAAGAUCCAAGACCUUAAAUUCAACAAGAAAGUCAAGAUCAAGAUAAAGUUCAGACCAAGAUCAAGAUUAAGUCCAAGUAUCAGUUCAAGUCAAAGAUCAAGUUUAAAAAGUUCAAGAACGAUUGAGAUCAAGACCACCGAAUUCAAUAUCAAGCUCCCAGCCCUUGAAUUCAACUAGAAAGUCAAGAUCAAGAUAAAGCUCAAGUCUAGAGCAACAUCAAGUCUAAGUAUAAUUUCAAGUUCAAAAUCAAGUCCAAGAACGGUCGAUUUCAAGACUACCAGAUUCAAGAUCAAAAUAAAGUUCAAGUCAAGAGAAAGAUCAAGUACAAGUAUAACUUCAAGACCACGAUCAAGUUCAAGAUAAAGUUCAAGAACGAUCAAGAUCAAGACCACCAGAUUCAAGAUCAAGCUCCAAGCCCUUAAAUUCAACUAGAAAGUCAAAAUAAAGAUAAAGUUCAAGUAAAGAUCAAGUCCAAGUCCAACUUCAAGCUGAAGAUUAAGUUCAAGAAAAAUCAAGAUCAAGACCACCGGAUUCAAGAUCAAGGUCCAAGCCCUUGAAUUCAACUAGAAAUUCAAGAUCAAGAUAAAGUUUAAGUCCAAGAUCAAGAUUGAGUCCAAGUUCAAGUUCAAGUCAAAGAUCAAGAUCAGGAUAAAGAUAAAUCCCUUGUUCAAGAUCAAACUUUAAAUCCCUUGAAAUUAUAUUUGAAAAGGUGAAUUCAGAAUAAUCAUCGAGAUUGUAACAUUCGCACUUAAAAUAAUUAAUCGAUUAUUGCUGUAAUUUUUCGUUCUUGAUUAUUAUUUUCUAGCCACGAAUUUUAUUGCCUACAAAUUUAGGCAUGCCCAGUGGGACAAUCUCUACCUCUCAUCUCAACUUUUCAAGAAUCGAAGAAUAUCAAAAUAAUUCCACCAUAGAAGAACAACUAGCAAGCUUAACCAACGCAAUUGAAGGCUAUAAUAAGUGCGCACACUAAUAAGAUGCUAUACUUUCCAACCUAACAAAUAAGAUGGAUAAUAUAAUUGAAAAAAGAUCAAGUCAAUCACCUUUGAAGCUUUCUAAAGUUCAAAACGAAGGAGAGUCUUUCGUUAAGAAAACAAAGAUCAGAAAGAUUCAUAUCUCAAUUGAAGGUUUGAUUCCAAUUGAUCAACUAAAUAACAAUAACUUAGAGGCCAUGGAAGACAAAUAUAUGAGUCUUCAUUCCAAUUUUCUCUAAUAUAUGAAACGUCAUAUACACAAAGGAUUGAUAACUUGAAAAUGUCUGAAGGUUAUCAACCUCGUAAGCUUAAAAAAUUUGAUGGAAAAUGAAAUCCCGAACAACAUAUAGCGCACUUUAUUGAGACUUGAAAUGCUGCUGGGACGUAUGGUGAUUAUCUUGUCAAAGAGUUCGUUCGAUCACUCACAGAAAAUUUCUUUGUUGGUACACAAAUUUUGAACCUAAUUCUAUAGAUAGUUGGGAGCAAUUAGAGCAAGAGUUCCUUAAUUGUUUCUAUAGCACGGGACGUGUCGUUAGUACGAUGAAACUUACAAAAUCUCGUAAAGGUAAAGAUCAGUCCAUUUUUGACUUUAUCAAUCGCUGGAGAAGUCUAAGCUUCAACUGCAAGAUCUCCUUAGUGAAAUUUCUAGUAUUGAAAUGUGCAUCGAAGGUAUGAAUUGGGGUCUACACUACAUUGUGCAAGGAUUAAAUCCCAAUAUUCUCGAAGAGUUAGCAACUUGUGCACAUGAAAUGAAAUUAAGCAAGACUUUAAGAGAUAAUAAACAAUUUCGUGUCGAUGAACCUCAUGAAGAUGAAGAUAUAGAAGAACUCCAAAAUGGGGGCAAGUCUGCAUCAUAAUAUGACUUUGAAGAGUCAAUGCAUAUCUUGACACUCCUUAACGCAUGAGCUUAAAUUGCAAGUUAUAAUGCUCUUUGAAACAAGCGCUUAAACCGUAUGCCUUCAUUUUGAAAUGCUCUUUGAAACACGAGCUUAAACUGUAUGUCGCUUAAAUCUUAAAUUUGACUUAAAUCUUCAAGUUGAAAUGCUCCUUGAAACACGAGCUUAAACUAUAUAUCACUUGAAUAUUCAAGUUGAAAUUCUCCUUGAGAUACGAGCUUAAACUGUAUGGAGCUUAAAUCUUAAAUUUUGAGUUAAAUCUUCAAGUUGAGAUGCUCCUUUAAAGAUGAGCUUAAACUGUAUGUCAGUUAAAUAUUCAAGUUUGAGUUAAAUCUUGAAGUUGAAAUGAUCCUUGAAAUACGAGCUUAAACUAUAUGUCACGUAAAUCUUCAAGUUAGAAUUAAAUCUUAAGUUGAAAUUCCAUUCAAACGCGAGCUUAAACUAUAUGUUACUUAAAUUAUCAAAUUUGAGUUAAAUCUUCAAGUUGAAAGGCUCCUUGAAACACGAGCUUAAAUUGUAUGUCCCUUAUAUCUUCAAGUUUGAGUUGAAUCAUCGAGUUAAAAUGCUUCUUGAGACACAAAUCUAAACUUUAUAUCAUCAAGCUAUUUAAGUUUGAUCUAAAUAUUUGAGUUAAAAUAUUCCUUAAGGUACAAUUCUAAAUUGAAUGUCACUCCAGGCCAGCAAGAGUAUAAACUGUGUACAACACAACAAAAAAUCACUCUUUCCUCCAGAACUACGUUGUAACUUGAUCCUCUUCAUUGAGGUACGUAGGCACUUAGAACCAUAUCCUAAGUUUAGUUGCAUGAGUGUCAAAAAAAACAAAUGUUCACACUUGAUCUGUUGUAAGAGUUAAGCCUAUGAGUAAUCAUUCAUAAAAUUCAGACUUAAACCGAAUGGUGGUGACUCAAUGGGGGCAAACCCUUAUAUAUAAAUUGAUUCAAGAUGAAGUGUUCAGAAUCUCCAGGUAUCCAAGUUGAGUCUUCAAAUUCUUCAAGACUGCUCUUUGAAAGAUAAAAUAUCUUAACAAGACUUAAAGAAGUGGGCAUUUUUAGUCACUUAAAAUUUAUUAAAUUUAAAUUAUAAAGUUGUUCGAAUUAUAUUAAAUUAAUGAAUAUAUUAUUCCAAAUAAAUAUUAUGAAUUAAUAUGAUUGAUUUAAUUAUUUAAAUUUUGAUAAAUAUGAAUUUAAUUGAAGUCCGCUCCAUAAAGUCCAUAUGAUAUUUCACUUAAUUCUGAUUGGCCAAAGGGAGUCCCGUUCCAAUCGCAAUUUGUCUAUUCUAAAACUAUAAAUAAGGGUCUCAUAAUUCAGAAAAAAUGAACCUAGAAUUCUAAACAAGAAGAUAGAGAAAGCUUGUGGAUCAAAAGCCAUAAAUUUCUCUACAAGUUCAAGGAUUCAUGAAUUCAAGUGUUCAAGUUCAAGAUUUGAAGAAGUCAAGACCAAGUUCAAGAACGAUCAAGAUAAAGACCACCGAAUUCAAGAUCAAACUCCAAGCUCUUGAAUUCAACAAGAAAGUCAAGAUCAAGAUACAAUUCAGGUCAAGAGCAAGAUCAAGUCCAAGUAUAAGUUCAAGUCAAAGAUAAAGUUCAACAAGUUCAAGAACGAUCGAGAUCAAGACCACCGAAUUCAAGAUCAAUCUCCAAGCCCUUGAAUUCAACUAGAAAGUCAAGAUCAAGAUAAAGCUCAAGUCAAGAGUAAGAUAAAGUCCAAGUAUAAGUUCAAGUCCAAGAUCAAGUUCAAAAUCAAGUUCAAGAACGAUCAAUUUCAAGACUACUAGAUUCAAGAUCAAGAUAAAGUUCAAGUCAAGAGCAAGAUCAAGUACAAGUUUAACUUCAAGUCCACGAUCAAGUUCAAGAUAAAGUUCAAUAAUGAUCAUGAUCAAGACCAUUGGAUUCAAGAUCAAGCUCCAAGCCCUUAAAUUCAACUAGAAAUUCAAGAUCAAGAUAAAGUUCAAGUAAAGAUCAAGUCCAAGUCCAACUUCAAGCCGAAGAUUAAAUUCAAGAAAAAUCAAGAUCAAGGUCCAAGCCCUUGAAUUCAACUAGAAAGCAAGAUCAAGAUAAAGUUCAAGUCAAGAUCAAGAUCAAGUCCAAUUAUAAUUUCAAGUUCAACAAGUUCAAGAAUGCUCAAGAUUAAGACCACCGAAUUCAAGAUCAAGAUAAAAUUCAAGUCAAGAUCAAGAUCAAGUGCAAGUAAAAGUUCAAGUCCAAGAUCAAGUUCAAGAACGAUCAAGAUCAAUACUACCGGAUUCAAGAUCAAGAUAAAGUUUAAGUCAAGAUCAAGAUCAAGUCCAAGUAUAAGUUCAAGUUAAAGAUCCAGUUUAAAAACCAUCAAGGUCAAGACCACCGGGUUCAAGAUCAAGCUCCAAGCCCUUGAAUUCAACUAGAAAGUCAAAAUAAAGAUAAAGUUCAAGUCAAGAUCAAUUCCAAGUCCAAGUCCAAGUUCAAGUCGAAGAUUAAGUUCAAGAACAAUCAAGAAAAACACCACCGAAUUCAAGAUCAAUCUCCAAGCCCUUGAAUUCAACUAGAAAGUCAAGAUCAAAAUAAAGUUCAAGUCCAAGAUCAAGAUCAUGUCCAAGUUCAAGUUCAAGUCCAAGAUCAAGAUCAAGAUAAAUCCCAAGAUCAAGAUCAAACUUUAAUCCCUUGAAAUUAUAUUUGAAAAGGCAAAUUCUGAGGAAUCAUAAAGAUUGUAACACUCCCACUUGAAAUAAUAAAUCUAUUGUUCCUAUAAUUUUCCGUUCUUGAUUAUUGUUUUCUCGACGCAAAUUUUAUCGUCUACAAAUUCAGUCAUGCCAUGUGGGACAAUCUCUACAUCUCAUUUAAACUUUAAGAAUAUCAAAUGUCUUUCACUAUAGAAGAACAACUAGCAAUCUUAACCAAAGCAAUUGAAGGCUUGACAAAGUGUGCACACGAACAAGAUGCUUUAGCUUUCUAAGCUAACAAAUAAGAUGGAUAAAAUGAUUGAAAACAGAUCAACUCAAUCACCUUUGAAGCUUUCUAAAAUACAAGACGAAUGAGAGUCUUGUUUAAAGCAAACAAAGAUCAAAAUGAUUCAUAUCUCAGUUGAAGGUUUGAUUCCAAUUGAUCAAUUAAAAAACAUUAUUGUAGAGGUCAUGGAAGAAAAAUUUGAGUCUUCAUUCAAAUUUUCUCCAAUAUAUGCAAAGCCAUAUACAUAAAAGGAUUGAUAACUUGAAAAUGUCUAAGGGUUAUCAACCUCCUAAGCUUCAAAAAUUUGAUGACAAAAGAAAUCCCAAACAACAUAUACCGCACUUUAUAGAGACCUGCAAUGCUGCUGGAACGUAUGAUGAUUAGCUUGUUAAAGAGUUCGUUCGAGAAAUUAGAGAAAAUUCCUUUGAUUGGUACACAGAUUUUAAACCUAAUUUUAUAGACAGUUGGGAGCGAUUAGAGCAAGAGUUCCUUAAUCGUUUCUAUAGCACGAGACGUGUCGUUAGUACAAUGGAACUUACAAAGGCUCUUCAAGGUAAAGAUGAGUCAGUUGUUAGUUAAAUUUCUAGUAUUGAAAUGUGCAUCCAAGGUAUGAACUGGAGUCUUCACUACAUUUUGCAAGGAUUAAAUCUCAAUACAUUUGAAGAGUUAGCAACUCGUGCACAUGACAUGGAAUUAAGCAUCACUUUAAGAGAAGAUCAUGAAUCUCCUGUCUAUGAACCACAUGAAGAUGAAGAUCUAGAAGAACUCCAAAAUGGGGGCAAGUCUGCAUCAAAAGAUGACUUUGAAGAGCCAAUGCAUAUCUAGACUCUCCUUAACGCAUGAGCUUAAACUCCAAGUUACAAUGAUCCUUGAAAUACGAGUUUAAAUUAUAUGUCUUCAAGUUGAAAUGCUCCUUGAAACACGAGCUUAAACUUUAUAUCGCUUAAAUAUUAAAGUUUGACUUAAAUCUCUAUGUUUGAAUGCUCCUUGAAACACGAGCUUAAAUUGUAUAUCACUUGAAUCUUCAAGUUGAAAUGAUCCUUGAAAUACGAGCUUAAAAUGUAUGGCACUUAAAUCUUAAAGUUUGAGUUAAAUCUUCAAGUUGAAGUUCUCCUUGAAACAUGAGCUUAACUGUAUCUCACUUAAAUCUUCAAGUUUGAGUUAAAUCUUCAAGUUGAAAUGCUCCUUGAAAUACGAGCCUAAACUGUAUGAUACUUAAAUCUCAAGUUAGAGUAAAAUUUUCAAGUUGAAAUGCUCAUCAUAAUACGAGAUUAAAAUGUAUGUCUCAUAAAUCUUCAAGUUUGAGUUAAAUCUUCAAGUUGAAAUGCUCCUUGAAACACGAGCAAAAUGUAUAUCCCUUAAAUCUUCAAGUUUUAGUUGAAUCAUCGAGUUAAAAUGCUCCUUGAGACAUGAGUCUAAACGGUAUAUCAUAAAGCUCUUUAAAUUUGAGCUAAAUCUUCGAGUAAAUAUGCUCCUUAAGAUACGAGCCCAAAAUGCAUGUCACUCCUGGCCCACAAGAGUAUAAACGGGAUACAACACAGCAAAAGAUCAGUCACUCCUCAAGAACUACAUUGUGACUUGAUCCUCUUCAUUGAGGUACCUAGGCACUUAGAACCAUAUUCUAAGUUCAAUUGAAUGAGGGUCAAAAAAAACCAAAUGUUCACACUUGAUCUGUUGUAUGAGUUAAAGCUAUGGGCAAUCAUUCAUAAAACUUCAGACUUGCACCGAAUGGUAGUGACUCAAUGGGGGUAAACCCUUAUGAAUAAAUUUAUUCAAGAUGAAGUCUUCAAAAUCUCCAAGUAUCCAAGUUGAAGUCUUCAAAUUCUUCAAGAAUAGUCUUUGAAAUAUAAAAUGUCUCGACAAGACUUAAAGAAGGGGGCAUUUGUAGUCACUUAAAAUUUAUUGAAUAUAAAUUUAUAAAGUUUUUCGGAUUAUAUUAAAUUAAUGAAUAUGUAAGUCUAAAUAAAUAUUAUGGAUUAAUAUAAUUGAUUUAAUUAUUUAAAUUCAAAUAAAUAUGAAUUUAACAAAAGCCCUCUCCAUAAAGCUCAUAUGAUAUUUCACUUAAAACUGAUUCACCGAAAGGAGUCAUGUUCCAAUCCCAACUUCUCUAUUCUAAAACUAUAAAUAGGGGUCUCAUAAUUCAGAAAAGAGAUCCAAGAAUUCUAAACAAGAAGCUCGAUCAAGCUCGUGAUUCAAAAGUCAUAAAUUUUUCUACAAGUUCAAGAAUUCAAGGAUUCAAUAAUACAAGUGUUCAAGUUCAAGAUUUGAAGAAGUCACGAUCAAGUUCAAGAACGAUCGACAUCAAGAACACUGAAUUCAAGAUCAAGCUCCAAGCCCUUGAAUUCAACUAGAAAGUCAAGAUCAAGAUAAAGUUCAUGUCAAGAUCAAGAUCAAGUCCAAGUACUAGUUGAAGUGCAAGAUUAAAUUCAACAAGUUCAAGAACGAUCAAGAUCACGACCACCGAAUCCAAGAUCAAACUCCAAGCCCUUGAAUUCAACUAGAAAGUCAAGAUCAGGAUAAAGUUUAAGUCAAUAUCAAGAUCAAUUCCAAGUAUAAGUUCAAGUCCAAGAUCAAGUUCAAAAUCAAGUCAAGAACGAUAAAGAUCAAGACUACCGGAUUCAAGAUCAAGAUAAGUUCAAGUCAAAAUCAAGAUCAAGUCCAAGUAUAAGUUUAAGAACGAUCAAGAUCAAGCUCCAAGCCCUUGAAUUCAACAAGAAAAUCAAGAUCAAGAUAAAGUUCAAGUCAAGAUCAAGAUCAAGUCCAAGUCCAAGUUCAAGUCGAAGAUUAAGUUCAAGAACAAUCAAGAUCAAGACAACCGGAUUCAAGAUCAAGCUCCAAGCCCUUGAAUUCAAAUAGAAAGCCAAGAUCAAGAUAAAGUUCAAUUCCAAGAUCAAGUUCAAGUUCAAGUCCAAGAUCAAAAUCAAGAUCAAGAUAUAUCCCAUGUUCAAGAUCAAACUUUAAAUUCCUUGAAAUUUGAAAAGGCGAAUUCAGAGGAAUCAUAGCGAUUGUAACACUCGCACUUGAAAUAAUAAAUCGAUUGUUGCUAUAAUUUUCCGUUUUUUAUUAUUGUUUUCUCAACACGAAUUUUAUUGUCUACAAGUGUAAUUACAAUGUAGCAACUAGCAACCAAACAUGUCAAUAUAAUUACAAAACAAUGUUAUUACUAGCCUAGUAAUUACACCAAUUUCAUUUACCAUGUGACUUUCCAAACAGACCCUUAGAAUGAUAUGAUGAUAUACUAUUAUAUAUGUUAGUAAUUAUUUGAUAUAUGAUAUGAUAUGAUUUGAUUAAUAAUAAUAAUACUAUAAUAAUAUCUAUUGAUUGUAUGGUGUUCCUUUUUUUUUCUUUUUUUUUUGUAAUGUCAAGCCAUAUUGAAUAUGAUCUUUUUAAAUGUGCAGCAAUAUUAAAGCUGUGAUGUCAAUUUUUUUAUUUUAAUAUGAUAAUUCGGUUUAUAGCGAAGUAUGCACACGUCUAUGUGCAUGAGUUUCUAAAUGUGAGGGCACUGUUACAUAUAACUAAUUAUUUUGAACUUUUUAUCUUCAACUUUGAUCCUUGGUUUUUAAGAAAAAUAUGGAAUGAAACCAGCGAUCCUUUUAUUUAGCAAAAGUUUUAACUGAAAUAAAAGAAGAUUAAAUAAAUAAUUGUGCAUUAUAUUAUAAUUAUAACAUAAAAAGUGUGUGUGGAUCCUGCACCAAGUAAAAAAAACAAAAAGAGAAAAUAGAAAAUAAGGAGGAAUUAAAAGUGGUUAUGCUGAAAGGAAGGCGAGAAAGACUAGGCCAACAAUGAAAUGGGAGGAAGGGAGAUUAUUUCGGUAAUAAACAUAGGGUUGUGAAAGGUAUAAUUUUUAAUAUAAAAGGCGAUGAUGGAGAUGGUUAAUAGUGCAAGCUCUAGCAGGAAGAAGAACUAAUAAAAAAAAGAAGAAGAAGCCUGACCUCUUCUUCUUGUGAGAGUAAAAAUAUAUAAAACUCCCAAAAAAAUUACUAGAGUGAUCAAAAAUAGAAAAAAAAAGAAGCAUCGUCAUGGGGAGUGGUAAAGUGACAGUUGUGGCUUUGCUACUUUGCCUCUCAGUAGGGGUAAUAGCUGAGGACCCUUACCUCUACUUUAACUGGAACGUUACCUAUGGCACAGUCUCUCCAUUGGGCGUGCCACAACAAGGUAUUCUCAUCAAUGGCCAGUUCCCUGGGCCUAGAAUUAAUUGUACCUCCAACAACAACAUUGUCGUCAAUGUCUUCAAUAAUUUGGAUGAGCCAUUCCUAUUUACCUGGAAUGGUGUCCAACAUAGGAAGAACUCAUGGCAAGAUGGUACCCCAGGAACCAUGUGCCCAAUCAUGCCUGGUCAAAAUUUUACUUACCGAUUCCAGGUCAAGGACCAGAUUGGUAGCUACUACUACUUCCCUACCACAGCUUUGCACCGAGCAGCAGGUGGUUAUGGUGCCAUCAAUGUCCACAGUCGUGCUCUCAUCCCUGUUCCUUUCGACAAUCCUGCCGAUGAGUACAAUGUCUUUGUCGGUGAUUGGUACAACAAGGGCCACAAGACUUUGAAAAAGGUCUUGGAUGGUGGACACACCGUUGGCAGACCUGAUGGCAUCAUCAUCAAUGGUAAGUCUGCUAAGGUUGGAGAGGCAAAAGAGCCACUCUUUACCAUGGAGGCUGGCAAGACCUAUAGGUACAGAUUCUGUAACCUUGGCAUGAGGUCCUCAGUCAACGUUAGAUUACAAGGUCACCCAAUGAAAUUAGUCGAGCUAGAGGGAUCCCACACCGUACAAAACAUCUACGAUUCAUUGGAUAUCCAUGUUGGUCAGUGCCUCUCAGUAUUGGUGACUGCUAAUCAGGAGCCCAAGGACUAUUACUUGGUCGUUUCAAGCAGAUUCUUGAAGCAAGAACUCUCCUCUGUGGCCAUCAUCCGUUAUGCCAAUGGAAAGGGCCCAGCAUCUCCUGAGCUCCCAGCAUCCCCACCAGACAACACUGAAGGCAUUGCCUGGUCCAUGAACCAGUUCCGCUCCUUCAGAUGGAACUUGACCGCUAGCGCUGCCCGUCCCAACCCUCAGGGUUCCUACCAUUACGGACAGAUAAACAUCACCCGCACCAUCAAGAUUGUCAACUCUAUGGGCCAAGUAAAUGGUAAGCUUAGAUAUGGUUUGAACGGCAUCUCUCACUCAGAUACCGAAACUCCAUUGAAGCUUGUAGAGUACUUUGGAGCUGCCGAUAAGAGUUUCAAGUAUGAUCUCAUGGCUGAUGAAGCCCCAGCUGACCCAAGCAAGCUAACUGUUGCCCCAAAUGUGAAAAACACCACCUACCGUAACUUUGUGGAGAUCAUCUUUGAGAACCACGAGAAGAGCAUCAGGACAUAUCACCUUGAUGGAUAUUCCUUCUUUGCAGUAGCUGUUGAGCCAGGGAGGUGGAGCGCUGAGAAGAGAAAGAACUACAACUUAGUGGACGCAACAAGCAGGAACAACAUCCAGGUGUAUCCAAACUCAUGGGCAGCAAUAAUGUUGACAUUUGACAAUGCAGGAAUGUGGAACUUGAGGUCAGAGAUGUGGGAGAAGACUUAUUUGGGAGAGCAAAUGUACUUCAGCGUUCUCUCACCAAGCCGCUCCUUGAGAGAUGAAUACAACCUCCCUGAUAACCAUCCUCUCUGCGGUGUUGUCAAGGGCAUGCCCCUCCCAGCUCCAUACAAGGCUUAAUUGAAUCUCUUCUCUUUCUAUCUAAUAAUAAAGGGGACGGCUUAACUAUUAAUGGAUUCCAUGUAUUUGUUUUCCUUCCCCCCAAAAAAUAAUGAAUAAAAAGUUUUUUCUUUCUUUCAAAAUUAUGCAUUUUUCGUUUCUCUCCUACUCCUUCAUCAUAUUAUUUGAACUCAAACACCAAAAC
rnacentral:lncRNA from 1 species